rnacentral:lncRNA from 1 species
AUUUUAAUAUUAUCUGAAAUUGGAGAGAACGCCAUAUAUCCUGUAUCAUGGUCAUUUUUCAAUCGGUUAUCUUAAUUGGCACGGAUUGAUUUUGCUGCAAAUGGCUAGAUCUUUUUAUUUUACCUCUGAAAUAAAUUUGCUGCCUAAAAUUUUCUGAAUUAUUUGGAUAAACUGAAUUGACUUUGUUUUGCAUGCCAUUUAGAAUCCGGUCUGAUGAUAGUAGUGGACAUCUGUCUGAUCCGAAUGAGGCAGGAUUGUUUAUGAAUCGAAAAUCCCAAGAUGCUGCAGUUGGUGCUCUUUUACGUAUGCUGAAGAAAGCCCCUCCUCUUCGCCAAGAUAUCUGCAGUUUAAUUAAUUUUUCGGAAGCCUCCAGUCCAGAAAUGUCGAACAGCAGCAUUUAUGAGCAAAACCAAAUUUCUGGGGUUGUGAAUGUUGAGCAUGCUGCUUCUUCAAGUAUUGCAUCUUCCAGGUUUGUUGCAUCAAAGACAACUGCUGAUGCAUUAGAGGAGCUUCGGGGUUAUAAAGAGAUGAAAAGCUUAUUGCUUAGUGAAGGUGGUAAGUCUUACACAUCUGCCAAUAAUGCCUCAGGAGCUGAACAUUCCAGUAAAGGUGCGUGAGAAUUUUUAACUUCUGCAAUAUUGGUAUAUCGCACAUAUAUGUACAGCGCUAUGGUUUGAGAGAUUACUACAUGCUAUACAACUGAAGCCAUUUUUGCUCUUAGGUAUUCACGUACGUUUAAUAAAAGAAUGUACAAAUGUUGUUUAAAAUUAUUUAUUAAAUUUAAUAAAUAAAUAUAAAUGAACAGAAAUUAAACAUGUUUAUUAACGGUUUGAAAUUAUUUAUUAUACUUAAUAAAUGAACAUAAAUGAACAAAAACUAAACAUGUUUACCGAAAGCUCUGAUCACACGCUUUCACAACGGUCCGCCAUUGAAUGCAUUUGUUAUAUUGUGCAACCAUGUUGUUUCAACAAGAGACUUAUCCAGAAAGAAAGAAAAAAAGAAAAAGAAACAGAACUGAUGACAGACGUCAAAAUUUACAUUUUCUUUUUAUUUCAAUUUUUUAUUUAAAUUUAAGUUUAUAUGCAUUUAGAACUAGCCAUUGACGCUUGUGGUGUUAUAGAAGAACAAAUAGUUCAAGAUUUUUAAUUUUCCUCUUGCCUUAAAUUGUGUACUGUUGUAUUUCAAUUUUUUGUUCUACUUAAAGAAAAUAUAAAAUAUUUUUUCUAUGUUUGCUCUGCGUGCAGUAGCUGAUUUUUUUUUUCUUUUGUUUUCUCUCUUUUCAUGGUUUUGUUAUGUAUAAAAUGUAAAAAUUAGUAUCGUACAUGAGGCUGUAAACAAAAAUUAAUGAUAAUAAUUUGUAACUAACAUCGUUUUGGUUGGUUCUUGUGCAAACAAGUCAUCCUUCCGAGUCUUAAUUUCUAUUCAGCGUGCUCUUUACUUUGAUUUGAAUGAUCAUCGCUGGAACAGUUGCUCUCCAACACUUAUUGUCAUAUUGUACUAAUUGAAAGCAACUUUUCUGGCUGAUAAGGGCUGAAGUCAUUGUUUUACCCAAUCGACACUCUGAUGUCAUGUCUGAAGAUUUGAGUUUUGGAUUUUUCUAGUACACCCAAACCAAUCCCACAACGUUGAAGUGGAGCGCACGCUGUCAGCCCUUAGCAUGUGUUUUUUUUUUUUUGAGUGGAUACGUUUAAACGUUGAAGCUUUUUCUUGCUUCACUGUACUGGUAUUGACUUUAAGCAAAACUCACUGGUUAGCACAUUUUCUGCACAUUCAUUUAUUGAACGCGACUUUACUUACCUCCCAUGGUUCGUCCCUUCAAGCUGUAAGGCAAAGAAGGAUUGUAGGGCAUCUAGAUAUUGCUUUUUAAUUUGUGGACUCGACAGAAAACUUUAGGCAAAAUCUAAGUCUUCUUGAGCUAAGUUACGUACCAAAACCAGCCCCACAACGUGUACGCGAAGGGACAUUAAAUUUGAUGCUUUGAAUUUUAAAGUUCGCCGAUGGGAAGGCAGGUGGAGCACGUCACAGCUAUUUCUAAGAAAUUUUACCUCUGAAAUAAAUUUGCUGCUUAAAAUUUUCUGAAUUAUUUGGAUAAACUGAAUUGACUUUGUUUUGCAUGCCAUUUAGAAUCCGGUCUGAUGAUAGUAGUGGACAUCUGUCUGAUCCGAAUGAGGCAGGAUUGUUUAUGAAUCGAAAAUCCCAAUAUGCUGCAGUUUGUGCUCUUUUACGUAUGCUGAAGAAAGCCCCUCCUCGUCGCCAAGAUAUCUGCAGUUUAAUUAAUUUUUCGGAAGCCUCCAGUCCAGAAAUGUCGAACAGCAGCAUUUAUGAGCAAAACCAAAUUUCUGGGGUUGUGAAUGUUGAGCAUGCUGCUUCUUCAAGUAUUGCAUCUUCCAGGUUUGUUGCAUCAAAGACAACUGCUGAUGCAUUAGAGGAGCUUCCGGGUUAUAAAGAGAUGAAAAGCUUAUUGCUUAGUGAAGGUGGUAAGUCUUACACAUCUGCCAAUAAUGCCUCAGGAGCUGAACAUUCCAGUAAAGGUACAUGAGAAUUUUUAACUUCUGCAGUAUUGUUAUAUGGCACAUUAUGUACAGCGCUAUGGUUUGAGAGAUUACUACAUGCUAUACUAUACAAGUGAAGCCAUUUUUGCUCGUACGUAUUCACAUACGAUUAAUAAACGAAUGUACAAAUGUUGUUUAAAAUUAUUUAUUAAACUUAAUAAAUAAACAUAAAUGAAUAGAAAUUAAACAUGUUUACUAACGGUUUAAAAUUAUUUAUUAAACUUAAUAAAUGAACAUAAAUGAGCAAAAAUUAAACAUGUUUAUCGAAAGCUCUGUUCACUUACAACACUAAUGGAGGCUCAUGCGAAUUUACAGGCUACAUAUGUCCAUGGUAGUGCAACAUAUCUCUAUCUUUCGCUCACCAUCUCUCUGUUGCUGUCGUCUCUAUUAUUUUCCUCUUUUCCCUUGUUUUUCCUCCUCCAUGUGGGUCUAGUCUGGAAAUGCAAUUGCCUUAUGAUUAGAAUUGAAGAGAAACAGAUGCGAUUGCCUGACUAGCAGAAUUGAAAAGAAAUCUCAGUGGGAUGUUUUAUUUGUUUUCGUUAAAAGGUAAACAUCAACCUUUUCAAUAAAGUUUGAAUCUGUAAGUAAGCGUAAAUAUUCGGAUAAUCUUCAACAAACCAAAAAAAUCUUUUUACAUUUUGUUUUUUCUUUGUUACCUUUGUGAUUUAACUUCGUUUGAUGAUCUCGGCUGGGGUUAAUUUGGAAAGAUUGGUUUAUUAUUGCCAUUGACAACUUGGUUUCUUUCUUUAAACAAUUAUUUGGAACUAACAAUAAGUUUACAUACGUCUUUGGUAAAGGCAUAAAGCACAUAAGCAUUAAAAAAAUUCAUCAUAUAUACAUAAAAAAGAUACGAAAAAUAUCUUUCAUUUGUUAUGUUAUUCAGAUUCGAAUGUUAGAUAUGUUAUAUGUACAAUACAAUAAUAUAUUUUUUUCGAUUAAUUCUUUUUUAUAUUUGGAUUGUCUAAUCUCCAUAUCUACAUUCAUUGUAUAUAUAUCAAACACAAGUACUUUAAAAGAAACGAAGAAUCCAACAGUUAACAUAGUUCAUUGACGCCUAGACCUUAACCUUCAUAUUGAGCCCCUAGUGCUUUUUAGUUUAUCCUCUUCUAUUCUUCUAUGGUGCUUUUUAACUCCUCUUUUGAUUGUCUCUGCCUUGGGCCCCAAAGGCUUUCAAAAUUUUUGGCGGGGCCUUGGCCCCCACACGCUUCCACAACGGUCCGCCAUGUAGUUUCAAUAAGGGACUUUUCCAGAGGCAAGGAAAGAAAGAAACAGAACUAAUGGCAGACGUCAUAUUUUACAUUUUUUUAUUAUAAUUUUUUAUUUAAAUUUAAGUUUAUAUAUAUGGAGAAGCUAGCCAUUGACGCUUGUGGGGUUAUAAAAGAACAAAAUGUUCAAGAUUUUUAAUUUUCCUCUUGCCUUAAAUUCUGAACUUUUGUAUUUUAUUUUUUUUUCUACUUAAAGAAAAUAUAAAAUAUUUUUACUAUGUUUACUCUGCGUGCAGUGGCUGAUUUUUUUUUUUCUUUUGUUUUCUCUCUUUUCAUGGUUUUGUUAUGUAUAAAAAGUAAAACUAGUAUGGUACAAAAGGCUAUAAACAAAAAUUAAUGAUAAUAAUUUGUAGCAACAUCGUUUUGGCUGGUUGUUGUGCAAACAAGUCAUCCAUCCAAGUCUUAAUUUCUGUGCAACGCGCUCUUUACUUUGAUGUGAAUGAUCAUCGCUGGAACAGUUACUCUCCAACACUUAUUGUCAUAUUGUACUAAUUGAAAGCAACUUUUCUUGCUGAUAAGGGCUGCAGUCAUUGUUUUACCCAAUCGACACUCUGAUGUCUGAAGGUUUGAGUUUUGGAUUUUUCUACUGCACCCAAACGAAUCCCACAACUUUUAAGUGGAGCCCACGUUCGCAGCCCUUAGCAUGGAUUUUUUUGAGUGGAUAAGUUUAAACGUUGAAGCUUUAUCUUGCUUCACCGUACUGGUCUUGACUGUGAACGAACUUUGGUUUAAAACUCACUGGUUAGCACAUUUUCUGAACAUUCGUUAAUUGAAAGCGACUUUGCUUACCUCCCAUGGUUCGUCCCUUAAGCUGUAAGGCAAAGAAGGAUCGACGGGCAUCUAUAUAUUGCUUUUUAAUUUGUGGACUUGAUAGAAACUUUAGGCAAAAUCAAGUGUUCUUGAGCUAAGCUACGUGCCAAAACCAGCCCCACAACGUGUACGUCAACAGACAUUAAAUUUGAUCCUUUGAACUUUAAAGUUCGCCGAUGGGAAGGCAGGUGGAGCACAUCACAGCUAUUUCUAAGAAAAAUCUGGUCAUUGGUCUUUGGACUUAUUGGUUAUUAGUUGAACGUAUGCUUCGGUUUUGAUAGUUGCGUUUAGCUUUGCAUAAACGUAGUCCUUCGUAAACGACGGGAAAGGGACUGGGUAGUCAUAAGGAUUUUUCUUUAAUGAAGCACCUUCAAUUUGAUGGUACUCUCUUAAUUGAAACAUUAGCCGGAUGGGUUUUGGCUUUGUGCAUGCAAUUAAAUUAACAUAUAAAGACUUUGUCUUUGAAGCAACUUAAGUAAUACUAAAUUUAAUUUGUAGGGUUUCAAUGUGAGACAUUUUAUAAAUUGGUUGUGGUAUAUAAGAAAAAAUUUAAAUUUAUAUUUAUAAAAUAUUUUUUGAAAUAAAAUUAUAAAAUUUUUGAGUCAAUAAUAUUUAUUAAUUUAAGUGCGAUGUACAAUUAAUAUCAAGCAAUUAUAAACCGAUAAAAAAAUGUUAUACAAUAAAAAUUACUUCUAAAUCGUUGUAAAUGAGACCCAAUAUUAUACUAUGUGAGUAUCACUUUUAAAAUUUUUAUUUUUAGUAUGACUUUAAUUUUAUGUUUAGUAUAAUCCUAAUUUUUUAUAUACUAUAUUAAACUUGAAAAAAACAUUAAACUUUAAUAAGCAAAUUUAUAACACUCAAUCUUAUUCUAAAAUAUUUUAAAAUUUUAUUAUGAUAUAUAUAUAAAUCUAAAUUUUAAAAUUUUUUAAUCAAAAUAAAUAAUAUUUCGCAUACAUGUAUAACGUAAUAACUGUAAGAAACGAGAUAUCAUUUUCCAAUUGAAGGCUCUAAGUAAUCUUGCUUUUUCCCGUUUGGACGUUAACUUUUUGAGGUUUAGGGUACUGAUUAAUAUUUUUUAGAGAGAGAAAAAAAAGAAAUAGUACUCCCUUUGUCUUAAUUUAUUUAUACCUCAAUUUGGUUCUUUUAACCGAAAUUGAUCGAACUUUUUACCUUCAAUUAUUAAAUUAUUAGAUUGAUUAAUUAAAAAUUUAAAAAGGUUUUAAAUUCUUUUCUCAAGUACAUAAGGAUUUUGAAUUGCAUUAAUAUGAGAAAGUUUUCUCCAAUAUCUAUAUUUUAUCUUAUUUAUCAUAAAAUUCAACAACAAGAGAUCAAUUAAACUUCAAGUUUCAACAGUUGCUUGAAUUUUAUACUCGUGAUUUUUUUAUAGUCAUUUUGCAAAAUAGAGAUAUACAAAAUUAUGUUUAUUUGACCAAACAAGUUAAACAAGGAGAACCAAAUGAGAGUAGGAGAAAAAUGUGGGUAGAAAAUACAGUUUUUAACCUUUAAUUUGCAUCAUUUUAUAAAACUUUGACGUGCAUUAUCACUCUCUUUUAGCAGUUGAAAGUGUAUUCAACCGGACUUUGCUGCUCAAUUACUUUUUAUUGGAUUCUUAUCUUAAAUUUUUAAAGGACUUGGAAGUUAAAAUAUUGAAAAUCGAGUGAAUGGUGCAAAUUCUAAGGGCAGAUUGGUUUUCUAGAAAAUUAGAUUUAGGGUCUAUUUGGAUAUUGAUAAGAUUAAUUUUGGUGAAAUUAAAAAUAAUAAUAAAUAAAAUAUUAAUUAAUGUAACAAUAAAAUUAAAAUCAAUGUUGAAACAUAACCUAACCUAUGCCAGGCUGUAGUGGACCAUCCCUAGAUGGGUCCAAUUGAACUCUGAUUGAAUUGGUCAAACUACAACUGAAUCAGUCCAAUAUGUAUCAGCGCCUAAAUAGUUUGAGGAACUGCGAAAUUGGACUGACCAUUAUUAAACUAUUGACUAGUUUUGACCAAUUUUUUGGGUAAUAUUUUUAUUUUUUUUUUACUUUGUUAAGUUAUUUAUUUGUUUAUCUAUACACUUUUAAGUUUUUAAAAGUAAAUAUAUAAUUUAAAAAAUGUUGAAAAAUCUUUGAAACAAAUCCUUCGACAAUGAAAUAUUAAGGAAAUGCAAGUAUUUCUUAAAAAUCUUUAAGUAAAGAUAUUUUUCUAAAAUGCUACUAAAGUAUUGAAAUAUUUAAAAAGCUAUUCAAUACAAAAAAAUUUUGUUUACUUAUUUUUUAUAUUGUUAAAAUUGAAAACAAAAAUAAUGAAUGAGUUUUUUAAGUAAUAAAAUUACAUAUAAUAAUGCAUGAAUAUUAUUGGCAUUAAUUAAUUAAAAAAUAUGAGCCUCCAAAGAUGGUUUUUUAAAAAAAUUUGAGUUGUGAUUCCUGAGAAAUUCAUAAGUGAAAAAAAUUUCUCUUAAUGUUAUUAGUAUAUUAGAAUGUUUCAAGAUAUUUUCAACAAGUUUCCAAUUUAUUUUUCAAAUAAAAAAUGAAAUAGCAUUUUUUAUUUAAAGAAAAAGAAUUAAAAAGAGAAAAUUUUUUGAACGAAAUUAAACAAAUCAAAAUUAUGAUAAAAAUUGGUUAAAAAGUUAUUUUUAAAUAUCAAAAUUAAAAUCUUUUUUUGUCAAUAUUAAAGGAUAAAACAUAAUUAUUCUGUAACAUUUUAAAAAAGUCAUUGUGGGAUGUUAAUUUUUUUCACAUAUAAUCGUAUUUUCGAAUCUAAAUUAUUUUGACAGACACAAAAAUUAUCUUUUUAAUAAAUUUUAAUUAAUUUUAAAUUUUACUAAAAAGAUAAGUUUUUUUAAAUGAUUAAUCACAUUUAACAAAAAAAAUUUAGUGAUAACACGUUGUUUUCAAUUCAUAUAACGGUUCUCAAAAAUAAAAUAACUAAUUAAAUAUGUAAAGAAAAAAUAGAAAUUAAAAUAAAAAUAAAUAAAAACCAAAGAAACUGACGCACGGUAGGUUUAUAUAUAGUAAGUCAAACUUACCCUGAUUAAUAUAUAGGAUAUAUAUAGAUAGAUAUAAUCGUAAUUAAAGACUUUGAAGCAUAUGAUAGUGAAGGGUUGCCUGGAGGCUUUUCAUUUCUGUGCCUACGAUCUGAACUUGAACUUUUAAAAUAUCUAACAAAAUUGGAUCAUGAAGAGACAUAUUAUAAUUUGGGAAGACUGUGAAGAAGAAAUGCUGCACUAAAUCUCUUGGGCCAUCUGCCUCAUUUGUUCAAUACAUAAUCUGUCUUCGUGGUGGAUUUGUAUUUGGUUAGAUUCCUUGGCAGAAUGGGCUCUUUGACAGUUGCAGAUUUUAAGAAGAAAAUCACGGCUCAUUGUUAUGUAAUAAGUUGAAUGAGCUACCAAACACCUUCGUCGCCAUUUUUUACUCGACCAAGUCUUUCAUUUUUACUCAAGUAAAUUCUCCAAAAUGCACGAUUGUAAGAAGCUUAGCUAACUUGCUACAUCGGCUCACCACAGACUUCUUUGAACUUGGUCGAUUGUUUUGAACAAUUCAUUAUUCUUGGAAUUCAAACUAAACGUCACUUAAUGUGAUUUUUUUAGCACUUAAUCAUGUUCUGAACGUACUUUAAAUUCAUUGGAUCUAAAUAUCGAACCAAAUACAAGUUGAUUAAUAGUCCUUUCUCGGAUAGGUAGUUGUUGGUCACGUCGAUGAUCUAUAUAUUGGUAUGUUGUGUCACGAAUUAUAUCUCAAGUGAUAACAAAAAAUUAACCCAACUUCUAUAGUUCCAAACUAAAGCUUUCUUCAUGGCUCUUCAAUCCUCCAAAAUUUUGGUUGCUACCGCCAAAGUUUUAGAUCAAAAAAUUGUUAGGCGAUCUGCUAAUUACCAUCCUACAAUUUGGAAGGACGAUUAUAUUCAGUCGCUCAAGAGUGAUUACAUGGUAUGUAGAAUGGUAAUUACCAACAUAUAUAUAUAUAUAUAUAUAUUUUGAGCAUGACAGGUAGCUAACAGAGUUGCUUAUCGUCGAUAGGGAGAAUCAUAUGGUGAACGAGCAGUGAAACUGGUGGGAGAAGUGAAAAUGAUGCUUGACAAAGUGAUGGAUCCUUUGGAGCAACUCGAGCUAGUCGAUGCGUUGCAGAGACUCGGAUUAUCUCAUCACUUUGAGAAUGAAACCAAGAGGAUUUUGGAGUAUGUAACGGCUGACCAUACCAAUUUAUAUGCUACAUCACUUGAAUUUAGGCUCCUAAGGCAGCAUGGGUAUAAAGGAACUCCAGGUAAAAGUCCAAGUAGUAAUUAAUUUUGUGUAAAUAUAAAAUAAAAAAAUUGGAGAAAUAUUGAUAAUUACAGUUGAAAAUUUUAUUACAUGCAGAGGUUUUCUCCCAUUUCAUGGACGAGAUAGGGAACUUGAAGGCAGGUUAUUGUGAGGAUUGGAAAGGGCUGCUGAGCUUGUAUGAAGCUUCAUACCUUUUGUUUGAGGGUGAAAGCAUAUUGGAGAAGGCAAGAGAUUGUGCAGCAAAACAACUCAAAGAAUUUCUGAAGCAGAACAAGGAUGUAUAUAGUGUGUCGAUGCUAGUGGAUCAUGCUUUGGAACUUCCAUUGCAUUGGAGAGUACCAAGGUUGGAAACCAGAUGGUUCAUAGAUGUGUACCAAAAAAGAGACAGAAAUCAGAGUCUUCUGGACCUUGCUAAAUUGGACUUCAAUAUGUUGCAAGCUGUUCACCAGGAUGAUCUAAGACAUGCUUCCAAGUAAGUUCGUUCAAAUUUAAAUUAUAUAUUUUUUUUAUAUUCGGCCAAUAGGAAAAAUCCUGAGCUACUCUAAAGAUAUUAUAAAUAUAUCAGCAGAUUUCAUGUCUUUUUUUAAGUACAUGUAAGGCUAAACCCCCCCCCCCCCCAAAAAAAAAAAAAAGAAAUAAUAAACUUAAAUAAAGUGAAUAUUUAAACAUUCUAUCAUGGCUAUGUCCUAAUUCCAAUAUAAUACUUACAAGUUUUACUUUUUAUAUGUUUAAAUAACUUUUUUACAGAAAAAACCAUGGAACAUCAAAAUUAUAACAUUUUUGAAAAUUUAAUAUAAAACUGCUAAAAUCAUAGCAUUUUUUAGUUUUGUUUCUUUUGUCUAGUAAAAAAAAAAAAAGAACAUUCAAUUUUAGACAUAAUUAAACAAUAAUGGAAUACUGUUAAAUGUCAUUUACAACAGGAAAAAAAAGACAUAAAUAGGAGUUGAUAUAUAUCAAAAGCUAUAUAAAAACUCCCUUAAUUAAUUAAUUAUUUGAUUGAUUGAUUAAUCUAUUCUAUUUAUAGUUUUGAAUUAAUUUUACAGAAAACGAUUUUCUUAAACUUCUGUGCAGGUGGUGGAAAGAUCUGUGUCUUGGGGAAAAGUUGACGUUUGCCAGAGACAGGUUAGUGGAGAGCUUUUUAUGGGCUAUGGGCGUGGCAACUGAUCUUCACUUUGGUAAUUGUAGAAGAAUUCUCGCUAAGGUUGGUGCACUAAUAACAAUUAUAGAUGAUAUUUAUGAUGUGUAUGGUACCAUGGAUGAAUUACUGCUCUUCACCGAGGCUGUUGAGAGGUUCGUAUGGUUCUUUAACUCUCUACUUUGUAUAAAAGAUGACCAGAGAGAAUCAGUGAUCUAUUUUUUAAUUUAAAAGCUAGGUUUCAUAAUAUUUUUUAGUUACUUUAUAACUCAAAUCAUUGAAAAUUUAAGCUUAAUUUAGUUCAUCCCUUAAAUUUAUAUUUAGCAUUAAAAUUUAAAACAAUUGUCUUAAUAUUUUCAAAAUAUUUUUAAUUAAAAUUAAAUUAAAAUUUUUUACCGAAUCUAAAAAAAUCCUAUUUAUAGGACCCAGAUUUGAUUAGAUCAAACCCAUAGCUCAACCAGUGAACACCUCUACCCUUAUUCCCAACAAAGCAAAGCCUUACGUAAUUUUUUUUUUUCUGUAUGAAAUUUUAAUCUUUAUGAUUCCAGAUGGGACACAAAUACAAUGGAGUUGUUUCCUGAAUAUAUGAAGCUAUGUUUCCUUGCUCUUUUCAACUUCGUAAACGAAACAGCCUUCGCCAUUCUCAAGGAGCAAGGAUUCGAUACCUUACCUCUCAUGAAGAAAAUGGUACUGAAACCCUUCUAUUAUAUAUAUAGUUUUGAAUUACUUUUAUUUCAUGAUCUUUUCCUUCUAGAUUUCGAUUUUGUUAUUGAUCAUGAUUUCUAUCAUAAAUGUACAGUGGGCAGACCAAUGCAAAGCUAACUUAUUGGAGGCGAAGUGGUAUUAUAAUGGAUAUACACCAACUUUAGAAGAGUAUCUUGAAAAUGGACUGAUUUCCAUUGCCUUUCCUGUAAUACUUUUUCAUGCUUAUUUGGCUACAAAUUCAAUAAGAAAGGAGUGCAUGGAAUGCUUCGAAGAGUGUUCCAACCUAAUCAAGUUUUCAUCUGUGAUAGCACGUCUUGCGGAUGAUCUUGGAACAUCAUCGGUAUGAAAUAUACAAGCAUCAUUGCUUGCUGUGAAUUGAAAUAUAUUUAUGUAAUGCUUUACCCUUUGGAUUUUUUUGAUUAGGAUGAGUUGAAAAGAGGCGAUGUUCCUAAAUCAAUCCAAUGUUACAUGCACGAAACUGGAGCUUCGGAUGAAGAAGCCCGUCAGCACAUACGGGCGUUGAUUGAUGCAUGGUGGAAAAGGCUAAACGAAGAGCGAUUUGCUCAUUCUCCUUUUUCUCAGACGUUUAUUCAAUUUGCAUUGAAUGUGCCAAGGACGACUCAAUGCAUGUACCAGCAUGGUGAUGGCUAUGGGAUUGGAGAUCGUGAGACUAAGGAUCGUGUAUUAGCAUUAAUCGCUUUUCCUAUUCCAUAGAACAAAAUAAUUGGAGGCUAGGUGAUAUAGCAAUCCUUUUGUAGUAACUGUCAUAACGUCUAGAUCCGGGGAUCUAUCGCUAGACAUUGACUUAAGGGAGUCGCUACCAAUCUUUUUUUAUCUAGUUGCGAUUAGCCACCUAAAGAAUCUGUCCCUUCAAGGAACACUUAAGUUUAAGGGUCCUUAAAAGAAUAGGUUCGGGUCUACAAACCAGAACAGGGUUCGGGAGUUCGGUUACGUGUGAGGAAGGUUAUAGCACCCUCACAACGCCCAUCAAAAGAUGGUACCAACUUAAAUUUGUAUUAUCUAAAAAAGCCUUAAAAUGUUACCAAGUAAUUAAUUAUUGAAAAUUAUUCUCAAUUGACUUUAAUUCUUUUAGCAAAAAAUUGAGAAAAUUCUCUCACCUCAGGAGUAUACAAGAAAAACUACUGUUUUACUUGCAGAGGUUCCGUCGUCGGAUUAAUUAAAAAAAAAUGAAAAUCAAAAUCAAAAUAGAAAGGAAGGAAAGGAUGAUUAUUCUUGUGUAGGAAAAAUUGAUACUUUCAACUUUUCUCCAAAAAUUAUUUUUUUAAAAUUUAUUUUUCAGGAAAAUUGAUACUUUCAACUUUUCCCUAAAAAUCCUUUUUUUGAAAUUUAUUUUUAAGGAAAAUUGAUACUUUCAACUUUUCCCCAAAAAUAUUUUUUUUUGAAAAUUUAUUUCUAAGGAAAAUUGAUACUUUCAAUUUUUUCCCAAAAAUAUUUUUUUUUGAAACUUUGAUUCCCAAGGAAAAUUGAUACUUUUAACUUUUCCUCAAAAAUCUUUUUUUUUUGAAAAUUUAUUUUUAAGGAAAAUUGAUACUUUCAACUUUUCCCUAUAAAUAUUUUUUUUGGAAAUUUCGAUUUUCAAGGAAAAUUGAUACUUUCAACUUUUCCCCAAAAAUCUUUUUUUUGAAAUUUUACUUUUAAGGAAAACUGAUACUUUCAACUUUUCCCCAAAAAUAUUUUUUGGAAAUUUAUUUUUCUUUUAAGGAAAAUUGAUACUUUCAACUUUUCCUCAAAUAUCCUUUUUGAAAUUUAUUUUUAAGGAAAAUUGAUACUUUAAACUUUUUCCUAAAAAUAUUUUUUUUGGAAUUUUUGAUUUUUAUUUAAAGAAAAUAGAAUAAUAAAAUAAAAUAAAAUAAAAUAAAAUAAAAAAGAAAGAAAAGUAAAAAAAUAAAAUAAAAUAAAGAUAAAAAAGAAUAUUAAAUAAACCUAAUCUAAUAAAUUAAUUAAUUAAUUAAAAAAAAAAAAAACCUGGAGCGGUUCGGUUCGGCUCCCCUCAAGGCAGGGAAACGGCUCGAGGGGAGCGGCUUGGCAGCUUGGCUCAGCUUGGCUCGGCUCGGAGGGGGACUGGCACGCGCGGGUCAGGAAGCGGGUCGACGCUCGGGUGGGGUCGGGUUUCGACAAAACGCGCGGAUCCUCUGAUUAACUUAAAGCCAAAACGACGUCGUUUUGGGAGGGUAUAAAAGACAGUUACCUUCGUUUUUCGGCAGAACCCUUCUCCUCUCUCUCUCUCUUCUUCCUUUUUCCUCUCCUUUCUCUCUAAAAACUGAAGAACACCGGUGGAAUUUUCGCCGGAUUCUGGAAAAAAUCACCGAAAUCUGGAAAUUUUAUCGAAAGUUGGUCGGAAUAUCACCGGUUUCUGGGAUUCUUCACCGGAAACUGGGUUGGUCGUCGGAAACUUCAAGGUUGGCCGGAAUUUUCGUCGGAAAAUUCAACCAUCGCCGGAAAAGUCACCGGAAUCUGGAAAUUUCCCAGAAAUUUCCAGAAAAUUUUUUUCGCCAAAAAUUUCUAAAAAUUUUUUCUCACUCCCAGAACCCUCCUAAACUUUUCUUAGCUUCCUAUAUGCUUCCUUUUCUCUCAAACCAGUAGCUUUGCUUAUUGUUUUCUCUCUGUUUUUCAUCUGUUCCAGGAGGUGCUUUUUAUAGGGGUUGAUCAAGAGUUCCUGAUCAAUCCUAAUUCCUCCUUGGACGAAGAUUCAAUCUUUGAAUCCAAUUGGACUCUUCUGAUUGAAUUCCCCUCCACAGUGGGAUUCUUUAACUUUUAAUCUUAGCCCUCCAAAAUAAAAUCAAAAUAAAAAAAUACUAGAUAAUUAGAAAAGAUAAAUCAAAAAAUAUUAUAUAUAAAAAAAAUAAAAAAUAAUAUCUGAUAAUUGGAAAAAAAUCAGAUAAAAUUGACAGAUAAUUUAAAAAAUACUAAUAACAAAUAAAAUAAGAUAAACCCAAAAAUAUAUUACAAAAAAAUAAUAAUAAUAUAAUAAUAAAUAUAUAACUAUAUAAAUAAAAUACAUAUAAAUCUAAUCUAAUAAAUAAAUAAAUAUAUACAUAAUAAUAAUAAUAAAUAAUAAAAUAUAUAAAAUACAAAAGAAAGAGAAAAAAAAAUAAUAAUACAGGAUAAAAUUGGAUUGAGCCUUACCCAUUUGGGCUAGGCCCAAUUGAUCUGGGCCUGGACCUAAUUGGGUGUCUACAGCUGCCCCUCUUUGCACAUUUUCUGUGAAACAGAAAUUGCGCAAAGACGUAGACACCCAAUUAAGACUCAACUCAACAUUGUCAUUUUUUGUUUUUUUUUGUUGUUUUUUUUUUUUGCCAAAGCUCCUCUAAACAGAGGCUCAAUGAUUUUGAGAAACAUAAAUUGCUCCUCUAAACAGAGGCACCACGACUUUGAAAAGUAAAUUGCUCCUUAACAAUCAUGUCCAAAGGAGUUUGAAGGUUGUGUUUGGAGGAAUUUCAGGAGAUUAUGCCCAAAGGUCUUAUAAAUCAACCCCGAUACCAAAAGACAUCCUAUUUUAAGGAUUAGGAACUUACCUGACAAGUUUCUUCUCAAACUUGCAAAAUAUCUUCAUAUCUGUCUUCUUCAUGUGAGAUGUUGGAACACCCCUGCUUCUUGAAUUUAUACACUAUACUUUCCUGAAAGUAGUGUAUGCUAUGCAAAUGCAUAUGAAUUUCAAUGCAUGCUAUGCAAAUGUUCGAUCAAUUAAUUCCUGUUCAAUGUAUGGUACUCAAGUUUCUCAAGCUUUUUUCUUAGGCAUCAAGCCCUUCUAUUCUUCAGAGAUCCAAUUACACUGUUCUUCUAAGAUUGAACCAGUGUAGCUCUCAAUUGUCUCUUCCACUCAAAAAAUCCCUUCCCAGAUUCAAUGUCCUAAUCAGGAGCUGAACAUCUCAAUUCUGCCUUUUUCACUUUUGACUUAUUCAAUGUAAUGUAAAGAUCUUUUUAUGUUGUUAUUCAUUCAUCAAUCAUUAUUUCAAACUCAAAAAGUAAGAAUGCAUUUGCAUAUUUCUCUCAUGGUGGGUUGCUAAGAAGAAAAGAAUAUGAAUGGUUGGGAAACAAGCAUCGAAAAAAGGCACAAAGAAUGAGAUAAAAUAUUUUUUAUUAGCAAAAUGUUGGCAAACUUUGGCCAAGAGAGAACUAUAAUGAUAGGUAUGGGAAUAAAGCCCAAAAUGAUCAAUCAGAUAAUCACGAUAACACCUCUCAAAGUCUUUUUUGAAAACCCAACCCUCUGAUGUAUUUAACAACUUGGAACUCUUCCGAAUUUGUUAGCUUCCAUAUCAGCGAACUUUUAAAUUUGAUGCUGUGUUCUCCUUAUCUAAGCCGCCUUUUCAGGUUUUCAACUUAGACAAAUCCCCUAUGACUCAAACCGUCCUUUUGGGAUUUUCGUCUUGAGUCUUCCUUUUUCACUUUUUCUUUUUUCAUUUUUUUUAUUUUUUUCAAGCAUAGUAUUUCUUCACAGCAUCAGAAUUUAUAGGAUGGGGUAAAUCAUUUCCAUCAAUUUCAGUUAGUAUCAGUGCUCCACCCGAAAAAGCCCAUUUCACCACAUACGGCCCUUCCCAAUUCGGAGUCCAUUUUCUUCUACUAUCGUGUUGGAUUGGGAGAAUUCUUUUCAAGACCAACUCUCCUUCCCGAAAACAACGGGGUCGAAUCUUCUUAUCAUGAGCCCUCAUUAUUCUCUUUUGAUAUAGCUGACCAUGGUACAGUGCAGUCAUUCUCUUCUCUUUUAUGAAAUUUAACUGCUCAUAACGUUCUCGAAUCCAUUCAGUUUCUUCCAACUCAACUUCUUUUAAUACUCUCAAAGAGGGAAUCUCUACUUCCACUGGUAGUACAGCCUCCAUCCCAUAAACCAACGAAAAUGGGGUUGCCCUAGUAGAGGUGCGAACUGACGUUCGAUAUGCAUGCAAUGCGAAUGACAACUUCUCAUGCCAAUCUUUGUAAGUCUCGGUCGUUUUCUCUAAAAUCCUAUUUAUGUUCUUAUUGGCUGCCUCAACUGCCCCAUUCAUUUUCGGACGGUAUGGUACCGAGUUAUGAUGCUUGAUCUUGUAUUGAGCAUAUAUUUCUUGCAUAAUCUUACUAUUUAAAUUCUUGGCAUUGUCUGAAAUUAUUCUCUCCGAAAGUCCAUAUCUACAGAUGAUCUCUUUCUUUAUGAACUUACAAACCACGGAGCGUGUCACAUUUGCAUACGAUGCUGCCUCUACCCAUUUUGUGAAGUAAUCUAUCAUCGCAAAAAUGAAUCUGUGCCUGUUAGAAGCCUUUGGGCUGAUUGGACCAAUGACAUCCAUGCCUCACAUUGAAAAUGGCCAUGGUGGUGCCAUAACAUGUAAAGCAGAUGGUGGAGCACGAAUCCUAUCAGCAUAUAUCUGGCAUUUAUGACAUUUACGAGCAUAAUCAAUGCAAUCGUUCUCCAUAGUCAACCAGUAAUAUCCCGCUCUCAUAAUCUGUCUUACCAUCAUAUGUCCACUAGUAUGUGUCCCACAUAUUCCAUCAUGCACCUCUUCAAUGAUUUUUUUUGCUUCAGUCUCAUUUACACACCUCAAUAGUACUUGAUCCUUGCUUCUUUUGUAAAGAAUAUCCCCAUCCAGGAAAAAGCUCAUAGCCAAUCUUUGGAUGAUCCUUUUAUCAUUUUCUGUUGCAUGAACUAGAUACUGCUGCUCCUCGACAUACUAUAAGAUGUCAUAAUACCAUGAUUUUCCAUCUUCUUCCCUCUCUACAUUAGAAUAAUACGCUUGUAUAUCUUUAACAUCUAACUUGAUAGGUUGAAUGUCGAUAUUAUCAUUAAUUCAAAUCAUUACAGUCAGAGUAGCCAAUGCAUCAGCAAUCACAUUCUCUUCCCGGGGUAAGUGAUCAAACUGGACAUCUUCAAAUUGUUUCAUCAACUCUAGAAUAUACUUAUGAUAUGGAAUGAGUUUUGAGUCUCUCGUCUCCCAUUCUCCUUUCAAUUGAUAUAUGACUAGAGUUGAGUCUCCAAACACUUUCAGUACUUUCACUCUUCUAUCUAUAGCAGCUUGCAGGCCCAUGACACAUGCCUCAUACUCAGCGAUAUUAUUUGUGCAAUUGAAAUUUAACCUCGUCGUUACAGGGUAGUAUUGUUCUUCUGGAGAAAUCAGAAUUGCCCCAAUUCCAUGCCCCAAGGCAUUAGCAGCUCCAUCAAAGUACAUUCUUCAACAUUUAUCUCCAUGCUCCCUUUUUUCUAAUUGAGAAAUAGUCAUCAAGUCUUCAUCAGGGAAUUCUAACUUCAUCGACUCAUACUCUUCAGCAGCACGAUCUGUAAGAAAUUCUGCUAUAGCGCCUCUUUUUAUCACUUUUUGGCUCACAUAUAUAAUAUCAUAUUCCGAGAGCAUUACUUGCCAUCUAGCGAUUCUCUCAGACAAAGAAGGCUUCUCGAAGAUAUACUUAAUUGGAUCUAAUUUUGCUAUAAGCCAUGUAGUGUGAUAGAGCAUAUACUGUCUGAGUCUUUUGGCAGUCCACGCUAAUGCACAACACAUUUUCUCCAAUAAAGAAUACUUGGAUUCAUACUCCGUGAACUUUUUACUCAGAUAGUAAAUAGCUCUCUUCUUUCGGCUAGCCUCAUCUUGCUACCCCAACACACAUCUCAUUGAAUUUUCACAUACAGUUAAGUAUAAGAUUAAAGGUUUCCCUGGAACAGGUAGCGCCAAUACUGGAGGGUUUGAUAAAUAUUGCUUAAUUUUAUCAAAUGCCUUUGACAUUCUUCAUUCCAUUUCCCAGGAUUAUUCUUACGGAGAAGCUUAAAGAUGGGAUCACAUUUGUAAGUAAGCUGAGAGAUGAACCGAGAAAUGUAGUUCAAUCUCCCCAGAAAACCUUGAACUUCUUUUGGUGUGCUGGAGGUGACAAAUUUUGGAUGGCCCGUAUCUUAUCGGGAUCGACUUCAAUUCCUCUUUCACUGACCACAAAGCCUAGUAACUUUCCCUGACNNNNNNNNNNNNNNNNNNNNNNNNNNNNNNNNNNNNNNNNNNNNNNNNNNNNNNNNNNNNNNNNNNNNNNNNNNNNNNNNNNNNNNNNNNNNNNNNNNNNNNNNNNNNNNNNNNNNNNNNNNNNNNNNNNNNNNNNNNNNNNNNNNNNNNNNNNNNNNNNNNNNNNNNNNNNNNNNNNNNNNNNNNNNNNNNNNNNNNNNNNNNNNNNNNNNNNNNNNNNNNNNNNNNNNNNNNNNNNNNNNNNNNNNNNNNNNNNNNNNNNNNNNNNNNNNNNNNNNNNNNNNNNNNNNNNNNNNNNNNNNNNNNNNNNNNNNNNNNNNNNNNNNNNNNNNNNNNNNNNNNNNNNNNNNNNNNNNNNNNNNNNNNNNNNNNNNNNNNNNNNNNNNNNNNNNNNNNNNNNNNNNNNNNNNNNNNNNNNNNNNNNNNNNNNNNNNNNNNNNNNNNNNNNNNNNNNNNNNNNNNNNNNNNNNNNNNNNNNNNNNNNNNNNNNNNNNNNNNNNNNNNNNNNNNNNNNNNNNNNNNNNNNNNNNNNNNNNNNNNNNNNNNNNNNNNNNNNNNNNNNNNNNNNNNNNNNNNNNNNNNNNNNNNNNNNNNNNNNNNNNNNNNNNNNNNNNNNNNNNNNNNNNNNNNNNNNNNNNNNNNNNNNNNNNNNNNNNNNNNNNNNNNNNNNNNNNNNNNNNNNNNNNNNNNNNNNNNNNNNNNNNNNNNNNNNNNNNNNNNNNNNNNNNNNNNNNNNNNNNNNNNNNNNNNNNNNNNNNNNNNNNNNNNNNNNNNNNNNNNNNNNNNNNNNNNNNNNNNNNNNNNNNNNNNNNNNNNNNNNNNNNNNNNNNNNNNNNNNNNNNNNNNNNNNNNNNNNNNNNNNNNNNNNNNNNNNNNNNNNNNNNNNNNNNNNNNNNNNNNNNNNNNNNNNNNNNNNNNNNNNNNNNNNNNNNNNNNNNNNNNNNNNNNNNNNNNNNNNNNNNNNNNNNNNNNNNNNNNNNNNNNNNNNNNNNNNNNNNNNACGGCUCGGGGGAGCGGCUUGGAAGCUCGACUCAGCUCGGCUCAGCUUGGAGGAGGGGCAGCACGCGCGGGUCAGGAAAGCGGGUCGACGCUCGGGUCGAGUCGGGUUCGGCAAAACGCGCGGAUCCUCUAGUUAACUUAAAGCCAAAACGACGUCGUUUUGGGAGGGUAUAAAAGGCAAUCCCCUUCAUUUUUUGACAGAAUGCUCCUCCCCUCUCUCUCUCUUCUUCUCUUUUCCUCUCUCUUCUCUCUAAAAGCUGAAGAACACCGGUGUCGAAUUCUGAAAAAUAUCGCCGGAAUCUGAAAAUUUCGUCGGAAGUUGGUCGGAAUAUCACCGGUUUCUGGGAAUCUUCGUCGAAAACUGGGCAGGUUGCCGGAAACUUCAAUGUUCGUCGGAAUUGUAGCCGAAAAAUUCAAAUUUUGCCAAAAUUUUAGUCGAAAUCUGGAAAUUUCCCAAAAAUUUUUCAGAAAAAUUUUUCGCCAAAAAUUUCUAAAAAUUUUUUCUCACUCCCAGAACACUCCUAAACUUUUCCUAGCUUCCUAUACGCCUCUUUUUCUCUCAAAUCAGUAGCUUUGCUUACUGUUUUCCGUGUGUUUCAUUCUGUUUCAGGAGGUGCCUUUUAUAGGGGUUGAUCAGGAGUUCCUGAUCAAUCCCAAUUCCUUCUUGGACGGGGAUUCAAUCUUUGAAUCCAAUUGGACUCUUCUGAUUGAGUUCCCCUCCAUAGUGGGAUUCUUCAUCUUUUAAUCCCAGCCAUCCAAAAGAGAAAACAAAGAAAAGAAAGAAAAAAAAUAAUAAUAGUAAAAAAAAUCAGAUACGGAUCAAGAAAAGAGAGAAAAAAAAAGAUUAUUAACAGAUAAUUAGGGACACAAUAAGAUAAACCAACCAAAAAAAAAUAUUACAAGAAAAAAAAAAGAAAAUAAUUAUAAUAUAAUAAUAUAAAUAUAAUACAUAUAAAUAUUAACAGAGAAAAAAAUAAAUAAAUAAAUAAAGAUAUACAUAUAUUAAUAUAUAAUAAUAAUAAUGAAUAAUAAAAUAUGUAAAAUACAAAAGAAGAAAAAAGAAAAAAAAAUAAUACAGGAUAAAAUUGAAUUGGGCCUUGCCCAUUUGGGUCAGGCCCAAUUGAUAUGGGCCUGGACCCAAUUGGGUGUCUACAGGUUGGAUUGAUCAAAUUUAUGAUCCGACACCUAGAUCAGUUUAGUUUUAUUAUUAGAAAAAAUUUUUAACUAAUCCAGUUCAAACCACAUUGAAUCAAUAAUAUAAUUAAUAAAUCACUACAUGAAAAUAGAGAUUUAGUGGUUGUUUUUUAGAGGCAUUUUUAAAUAAAUGGCAUAAAGUUUUGUAUUUUUAUAAGGUUAGUAGCAUUUUUUUUAUAAAAUCUCACUAAAUUCUUAUAUAAUGGGAUUUAGAUUUAAAAACGUCACUAAAAAUAUACUUUUAGUGGCAUUGGUUGACCUAAACGCUACUAUAUACUUUCACUUUUAUAAAUUUGGCUACGUUUAUAUAAACGUCGCUAAAAACAAAUCUAUAAACUAAAAAAAAAACUCAAAGAGCAUUUGGUUCCGGGGAAUCCAAAUAUUUUUCAUCAGUAUCUUACUGUUAGGUAUUUGAUUCCCACUUAUGAUUUAGGUUAAUCUGAUUUCAGAGAAAACUGACAGAUUUUUAACAUUACCCAAAGUCCUGAAAUUAGAAACCCACCUCUUCUUAUGGUAGUCUAGGAUCCGAGGGGAGAAGUAGCGUUAUUUUCAAAUUUGACCUGACUAAAAAAUUAUGAAAUAGUCGUUUCUAUUUUGAAAAGCAUAUCUGGUAAUGAAUGCAAGUCAGUUGUUGGUUUCUAGUAGUAAAAAAUUUGGUUUAUAUAUGGCAUUUCGCAUAAAAAAUGCCUUUAAUAAUCCCUUAUAAAAAAAUUUGAAUGGGGUUAUUAAAAGCAUUUCUAGCUAAAAAUACAUUAAAUAAUCCCUUUCAAUUUUUAUGAGAGGAUUAUUCAAAAUAUUUUUUAGGGUUAUUGAAGGCGUUUCUGGCCAAAACGCCUUGAAUAAUGCCCUUCAAUUUUUAUUAAAGGGGAUUAUUCAAGGUGUUUUUGAUCAAAAACACAUUUAAUAGCCCCAUUCAAUUUUUUGUAAAAGAUUAUUCAAGGCAUUUUUUGGCAAAAAAUACCUUGAAUAAUUUCAAAAAAAAAAAUGGAAGGGAUUAUUAAAAGCAUUUUGGGCCAAAAAUGCCUUGAAUAAUCCCUUCUAAUUUUUUAAUUGGAGGGGAUUCUUCAAGGCAUUUUUUACCAUAAAUGCCUUGAGUAAUCCCAAAAAAAAAUUGGAGGGGAUUAUUGAAAGUGUUUUUGGCAAAAAAAUGCAUUGAAUAAUCACAAUUUCCCGCUGCUAAUUUCUCUUAAAUUUCAAAUUCGAGAGACCUACUUUCUACUUUCCUUUCCCCUAUUCAUUUCUUCCAUUUAUGCUCAUUUUGGGUAGCUUUCUUCUCAUUUUUGGCCUAAGUUUCAAUCAUUUUGUGGUCAAUUUUUAUCUUUUUCCUUUCAUUUUUGCAAAUUUCAAGUUAGCUUUCUUGCGUUUUAGGUCCAAUCCUUAAACUUUCUGUUUGAUUUGUUCGGUCAAAUCCUUAAACUUCAUGUCUGAUUUAUUGCAUUUUUGUCACCACUGAAGUUCCAUUGGUAAGCUCUAUUUCAAUAUUGGCAAUUUUCAAUGUUUGGCCAUUUGAUUUAUUGCGUUCUUGCCACCGUUCAAGCUCCACUGGUAAGCUCCAUUUUAAUAUUGGCAAUUUUCAAUAUUUGGCUAUUCUUUUUCUUUUUUACCAAUUUAUUUUGUUAUUGCAGUUUUGAGUUUGAUUUUAUUUUGUUGGUGAGAAAAAUUCAAGAUAGAACAUAAAGUGAAACAAAUAGGGUUUUUCUCUAAAAAACUUAAAAUUGAACAUUGAAUUUAGUUACAAACACGAAUGAAAUUUUAGGUUUAAUUUUUUUUUUCAAUAGAAUAUUUUUGAAAUUAUUAAAAAAUUGUUACUUGUUAAUAUGAAUUUGUUAAUUCAUUCAAUAUAUAUGUAGACACUCAUAUAUGUCUAGAGUCUAUCGCAUCAAUUUUUAUUAUUUUUGCCAUUACUAUUACAUUACUAUACUCUUAGUAUAUUACUACAAUACUAUUAUUAUAAUAUUAUAGUAUUAUAUUAUAUUAUUAUUAUUAUAGUAUGUUGAUGUUAUAUUACUUUUAUUAUAUUAGUAUUAUAUUAUAUUAUAUUAUAAUAGGUUAUCAUAUUAUGGUUAUUAUUAUUAUUAUUAUUAUAUUCGAUAUUAUUAUUAUUUUAUUUUUUUAUCAGAUUUUCUUUCCUUUUUCCUGAUCGGGGCUAAACAAAUUAUGGAAAUCAAAAUCAAAUUAGUUAGUCAAAGGUUUUUAAUGCAGAAUCAUGUUUGGAUAACGGUUGAAUUCAAUGGUGAUUAAAUCCAUGAACAAAAUCAUGCUUGUGUAGAAUAUAAUUCCAGGAUUCAAGCCUGAGAUUGAUUCUAUUCGUUUCCUAAAAUUUGUUAUAAGGGGGCCUAUAAAUUAAACAAGAAAUCAAAGGAAUGAUAGAGAAAAAUAAGUGAAAAGCUGAGGUUAUUAUUUUGGAAAUAAUUUUUAGGCAAUAGGGUUUUCUUGAAAAAUUUGGUUUUCUAAGACUUGGAUUCUUGGGAGUUCUGGGUUUCAUCUAAAGUUUCUAGGUUUAGAUUUGGGAUUCUAAGAUUAGGUUUAGAUUUUUUGAGGGAUUUUGGAGAAUUUGGGAAAAAUCAAUUUUUGUCUAGAAACUUUUAGAAUUUUAGAAAAAUAUAUAAAUUUUUCAAUGAAGUUUUUUAGUGGGAGUUUGAAGUUUUCGUUAAGAUUCCGACAAGAUUCCAAAAACCAACGAAGUUUCUAGAUUUUGGUUAAAUUUGUGUGUAGGUUUUUAGAGAGAAAAUAGAGUUUUUAGGUUAGAGAGAGUAUGGGUAGAAGGUUUAUGAAGCUAAACGUAAAGGCUUGGCUUUUGCACUGGUCCAAAAUGACAACAUUCUGAACACUUUAGAUCUGCGCGUCUACCUAGUAACCCGCAUAAAGAUCUGUGAACAAACCUGACUCAUUUUGCAGUUUGUUUUUCAUUUUCAUUUUAUUUUAUUUAUUUUCUUAAGUUUUUAUUUUAUUUUCAGUAAUUUUUUUAUUUAAUUUUACUAGUUUUCAAAAAAAAAAAGAAAAACCUUUUUUGGAAAAUUAAAGAAGCAAAGAAUAAAAAAAUCUUUUCGAAAAGGAAAAAAAAGCUAAAUAAAAAAAAAUCUUUUCAAAUAAGUUUAAAAAACAAAGAAAUAAAUCUAAAAAUGAAAUCUUUUUCAAAUAAAUUUAAGGAAUCCACCAAACUAUUGAAAAUUUUCAUAAAUUAGUUUUUUUUCAAAAAAAUAAUAGAAUAAUUUUUUCCCUCUAAAUUAUUGAAGGAUUAUUUUUAAAUUAAGUCCUACCACACUAUUGGGAGACUUAAAGAAACUCACAAAAUUUUUAUAAAUCUUUGUAUGAUAAAAUCUCGCCAUGCUAUUGAAAGAUCUGUUUCAAAGUAAGUCCUACCAAACUAUUGAAAGACUUUACUAAUUUUUCUGGAACAAAAUAAAUUAAAAAAUCUAAUGAUGAAGCCUCUUCAGAGUGGGACACUAGUCACUAUGAAUACUCUUGAUGUGAGAAAAUUAUCUUAAAUUGCUAUCAAACUAUUGGGACAAUUUUAAGGCUAAUUCUUGAUGUUAAAUAAUUUGGUAAAUUACAAAUAUGAUCAAGUUUGGAUAAUCUGAAAUGAAACUGGUACCAUUGUUUGGAUGAGCAUUAUGGGGGUGCUAUAACCUUUUCCAUGCUUAACUGUACUCCCAAACCUAAAAUUUGGUUUCGUAGAUUCAAUCAGGUGGCCAAUCACACCUAAACAAAAAGGAUUGGUAGUGACUUCUCUAAUCCAUGUCUAGUGGUAGGUCCACAGAUUUAUACGUUAUGACAAUUUGACGACUCCACUGGAGAACAUCGAGAGUCAAGUCAGUCAAUGAUUGCUUAUUAUCAAAGCCUUACUUAAUAAAUUUGAGAUUAUUUUUUAUCUUUCCUAUUUAUUUCUUUUCAUUGCUUAUACUUGCUUAAUUAUUUAUUUAUUUCUUUUCAUUGCUUAUGCUUGCUUAGUUAAUUAAUUACUUAUUUAUUUAUUUAUUAUAUUUGUCAUUCAUUUGCAUGUGCAUAAUAUAAGCUUGCCACCUAAGCUCUACCUUUAAAAGGGAGUGAAAUACUUAUACCAUUGUGAGAUUUUAUCUUCGUAUGGGCCUGUGAAACACUUUCACUCAAAUUAAACCCUUUCUGCUGGUAGCCUACGCUUGUUGAGGAUCAGGGUGCCUUACUAGUCUGUGAUGGUAAUGAUGUAAGGAACAAUUUGAAAACCUUUUAGAGUUAACCCAAAUCGCAUAUAGUUAACCUUAAAAGCCCAAUCAUAGGUGAAGCUUUAACCUUCCACCCUUCAUAGUCAAUCCAAACUUCAAGGUAAUGCUAUUAUCUUACUUGUUAAAUGGUGCUUAUUCUAUGCUUUUUUUUUUUAUUAUUGAAGUGACUAACUAAUUUACUUAUCUUAUUUUAUUUCUUUUUUUCUUGUGCAUAUUCAUAAACAUACUUAUAGCUUGCAUAGUAUUUUACCCUAAAAGCCAUUUCAACAAAAGCUCUCAUAGACUCCACAAAAUGUCAGGUUUGUGCCUCAUCUAUACUUUUCAGAUGUGACUCACCUAUAAAUGUGAAGUUAGAAUCAAAGAAGAGGUAGUAAGAAGAAAUAGAUUGCUUACUACUUGGCUAUAUUUCCAUACUAUCAAAGGAAGUUCAGUUGCUCCUCAAAUAAAAUGAUUAGAAAAGCCUAUCAGACAUAUGGAACAGCAUGACUCCUUCAAGGUAGGAAGCUUUUUGUCAAAAGUUUAUGCAUAUUGCAUAUAUCUUAUCAAUAGAUGCUGAUAACACACUUAUUAAGGUGAUGGUAUAAUUUUAGGAUCCUUCCUACCUUUGCUUCAUCUUUAAUGAGGUUGAUUUGGUGCUAAUGAUAGAGGAGUAUUUAAUUUUAGUGGGUAUACAUCUAUUAUAUCUAGACAAAAUAUAUGUGAAGAAACACAAAUAAAAAAAUCGUACUAAAUUAGACCAGAUUUUUGAGGGUCGAGGUAAAAUUUUUUGGUAAACUACAAAAUAAAAGUAAAGCUUAGACUUAGAAAGAUAAUAAAACCAACAAUUUUAAAACAAAAAUCGAGCUAAAAUGAUAAUUACUACUUAGAGGGACUACAACCUUAUAGAACCUUCUGGUCAUAUUAGCACUUUCUCGUUAAGAGUGUACUCUAAACUCAUACAAAUUUUUUUUAAUAGGGUCUUAAAGCUUAGGCCUUAAGAUUUUCUAAAGAAGAAAAGGCUUCGAUCAUUUGUUUAUUGUUAGAAGGGGAGUUGUUAUAGUGACCUCCUUAUGCACUGUCAUUUUUUGCUUAUCUUGGGCAUGGCAUAAACCUAAGUUGAUAAACUCGACUGCGUGUUGGGAGAGGAAUUUAUUAGCUUAUACCUCCCUUAAAAGAGGACACUAAGCUAAAACAAUUACUUUUUAUUACCUUUUUUGGGCCUGGACUUGUGUGUAUAUAAAUGAAAAUUAAAAUCCUUAGAUGGUCAGGAAGUCAUCUCUAUAAAGAUGAGCUAAGAGUUAGAAAAAAUGAAUAAAGUCAAAGACCUUAUGAGGUUACGUUACACCUAUCCUACUAUUUAAACUUGUUUACCAUUUUAAGAAAGGUCAGCUUGUACGCAUCUAUAACCAAUUUUUUUGUUCGGGUAUAGUCCAUUAUUUUAUCUCGAUUUAUAAGGUCAAAUGUAGAGAAAGUAAUGGGCAAAUCAAGAAAAUUCUCAAACUUAUUUAUGAUCUUUCAUACUUUGAACUCACCUUCUUUAUUAAUUUUUUCAUUCUGGAUGCAGAGGUAGAGCAGCUUCCAGUUCUUUAUUGAGCUUGGACAGUUUACAAAAUUUUUUUUAUUAAGGUGAGCUAUUACAUAGAACCACUUCUUAUCGUUAGGUGCCUCUUAGUGAAGAAGAACUCCCUAAAUAGAAGGAGGGUAUGAAGAAUAUCUAAGUGUUGGCAAAAAAUUAUGAUUGUUACUAUGUGCCGAAAUGAAUUAGGGGUGAGCUGGUUAAGUGGUAAAUUAUAAAAAAAAAUUUCAAUAAACAAAACAUGAAAAGGGAACCUCAAAUCGACCAUUAUUGAGUUUUAAUAUACCAAAAGCUGACGAGCUUCUAGCUUAUUAGUAUUCGAUUUAAGGUGUUUAACAUUAAUAAACUAUACCCUUUUUUAAAAAGUGAAAGUCAACUCAUAGAAAAUGGAUGUGAUUAGUAGAACACAUAUUAAAGGCAGCCAUCGAGGUUAGCCUUGCCUUUAAGUUCUUCAUGACAUCUUUAUGGAUAAUGCCUAAGAUCAGAGAGUAUAUAUGGGGACCUUAACUAGCUCAUCUGGUUUCAAAAAAGACUCUCAUUCACCUUCAUCUUCUUCGGUUGGGUUAUUUUCUCUUAUCUGCUCUUUUUUCAAACCCUCUUGUCAUUAAAGUCUUUAUUGUUAGAAAACUUAAACCAUUGAGUAAGAAUAAGAUUCUAAGUUGGAAUAGUGGUAGAGAUCACUACAAUAUUAGAAGAAUACGAGGGAUGAAAAGACUUCUAAAAUAAAGAAAAGACAUUAAUGAGAGUUGAUUGCGAUGGAAAGAAAGAAAGAAUAUGAGCAUUGAUAAUAGAUUGAAGAGUAGAAGAGUUAGAAAGAUGAUGAGGCUAAACCUCAAAAGAAGAAAUAGCCAAGGAAGAAUGAAUGUCAUUUGAAAAAGUUGGUCCGAUCUAAAAGAUUAAAAAAAAAAGAUUCUUUAAUUCAAAAUCAAUUUAAGCACACAACUCGUCCACAUUGAGGAGCUAUUCUCUUUGAGCUUGAGCACUAUCUCCAGCCCCUUUUACUCUUUCUUAAACAUUGGGUUCAGCCAGUAAGCCAUUUUAUUAUAGUUUUAACUAGCAAUGACUAAUGGGACUAGGUCAUCAUCAUCGUGCUUGAGCCUCUCUAGGCGCUACCCUAUAACUACCUUUACCCUGGAACUAACGCUAGUAGACAUGAUGAAAGGAUACGUACCGAAGUGAGAAGGGAGAGUAAUUGGAAAGAAAGAAAAACUUUAAGAUUGGAAGCAGCUUGAAAGCUUUUAGGUUAGAAGAUUAAGGUCGGAUCAAGAGUGAAAAAAUAAAAUAAUGAAAAAUAAAAGUCCCAAUAACCCUUUAUAUAGUUGCAUCUCAUAUCAGAUUAAUAGUCCAAAUCAUGCCACAUGUUAGAAUAUCAUUAGAGAAUGUCUUUUCACCUUUACCACUUUGGAUUUUACUACUUAAAAACCUUUUUCCUUAUUAAAUGUGAUCUUACGCAUUUGAAUUGGCCAGAUUGGUCAAAGAGUCUAGGUUGAACCUGUUGGGUGAACCAAUUCCCAUAUCAGCCCCAGGUAGACAAUGAUCAAAUUCUAGAAAAUACUAAGUUUCACCUCAAGGUGAACAAACCUGGCCGGCUCGUCUAAAUGCUCUUUCAUCUUCACCUCGGACAACCCAAAUCAAAGUCACUUCAGUAAUCCCUGAAUAGAUCAUAUACCAACCUAAAGUACAUGCAUAAAAUUAGACUAAUGCCAGGUUAGCAUAAGCCAAAACCCGUCUAGAUCGAGUCAAACAACAAAUGUAGACCUCUAACACUUAUCCAUCAUGUUAGCCGCAUAAAUAUUCGACCUUAGUGAUAAAAGGUCAGAUCCUAGGCAAUUUUUCAAAGCCCAUAUUUUUAGAGUUUGAGUUCACAAACAUAUGUAAAAAAAAGGCUAAUCACACUCCAAACAAUGUAAUACUUGGACUAUUUGGCGAUGGGACCGAAUGUCAAGGGCAUUUAGUGGUCAAAAGGGUAUUGUAAUUUUUUCCCUUAUUAGAGAUUCUUAACAAACAACUAGGGGCAUUUUGGACAUUUGGGCCAACUUAACAUAUCAGACUGACUUGACAUAUUUAGUACCAUAUUAGUUUGGUCAUGUCACUAUUGCUCCCUAUGGGCCCCUCGCCUUUUGCCUAUAAAUAUGGACAUCCAAAGUACUAUCAUUUCAUUCUAUAUCUUGCUCCAAUUUCCUAUCUUUCUUGCUUUCUCUCUUUUUGACCUUCUUUAUAUCAUUCUUUGGCUUACGUGUUAGAGUGCAAAUGUAGAGAACAUUCAUUGCCUUUGCUUCUAACUUUUUUUUUCUUUUUUUUAUCUUUUUAGAGAUACCUUUAAGUUGAAGCUUGGCACAAACAAUGGUAUUGAAGGAAGUUUUAGGCUAGGAAUUUUUAAAGGAGAGGGAGCCUAGGACAAUGUGAGAGACAGUUGAAAAUAGAGGUUUUUGAAAUGAUGGAAUGUGGGGAUUUUUUGGUUAGAGUGAAAACUUUCGUGCUAGGUUUAGGAAAUCUACAAACUUUUGGAAAAAUCUAAUCUUGUUGGUUGAAAAAAAGGAUCAAGGGGAGUUUCUUGUUGUUUUUUGGAAGCCAACCAACAUCGAUGAGUGGCAGUCGACAAUGACUAAAGGUGGAAAAGGUGGCAGCCAGUGGCAGCAAAUUGUAGGAAUCUGGGAUUAGGUAGCUAAUGUUCUUGGAUUUUGAGAGUGUUGAAAGCUUUUUUUAAAGGAAAUGUUUACAAUGAAAUAAGAAAAAACAUAUCUUUUAUAAAAAAAAAUGAAACGAUUAAUGAGCUGGAUUGGACCUAAGGUUUACGCACCCAACUUGUGCUAGGCUGCAACUGGUCAUCCUUGGAUUGGUCCAAUCAAACUGUGACUAAAUUGGUCAAAUAUGUCUCAUCACCUAAAUAGUCUGAGGAACCAUUGAAUUGGACCAAACCAUUAUUAAACUAUUGACCAAUUUUGACCAACUUUUUUGGAUAAUUUUUUUAUUUGUAUACUUUAUUAAGUUAUUUAUUUGUUUAUCUAUACACUUUUAAAUUUUAAAAAUAAAUAUAUAUUUUAAAAAUCUUCAAAAAAAAUCAUUCGAUGAUGAAAUAUUAAGGAAAUAUGAGUAGUGAUUCCUUAAAAAUCUUUAAGUGAUGAUAUUUUUCUAAAAUGCUAUUAAAGUACUGGAAUAUUUAGGAAGAUAUUCAAUACAAAAUAUUUCAUUUACUUAUUUUUUAUAUUGUUAAAAUUAAAAAAAAAUAACGAAUGAGUUUUUUUAGGAAUAAAAUUACAUAUAAUAAUGCAUGAAUAUUAUUGACAUUAAUUAAUUAAAAAAUACGAUCAUUCGAAAAUGGUAUUUUAAGGAAAUCCUAGUGGUGAUUUCUAAGAAAUCUAUAGGUGAAAAAAUUUCUCCUAAUGUUACCAAUGUCUUUGAAUGUUUCAAGAAAUUUUCAAUAACAAGUUUCCAAUUUAUUUUUCAAAUAAAAAAGGAAAUAAUAUUUUUUAUUUAAAGUAAAAGAAUUAAAAAGAGAAAAUUUUUUGAAGGAAAUUAAACAAAUCAAAAUUAUGAUAAAAAAGGUUAAAAAUAAUUUUUAAAUAUCAAAAUUAAAACUUUUUUUAUCACUAUUAAAGGAUAACACAUGAUUACUCUAUAAUGUUUUAAAAAGGUCAAUGUGGCAUAUUAAUUUUUCUCCACAUAUAAUCGUAUUUUCAAAUUUAAAUUAUUUUGACAAACAUAAAAAUUAUAUUUUUAAUAAAUUUUAAUUAAUUUUAAAUUUUAUUAAAAAUAUAAAAUUUUUUAAGUGAUCAAUCACAUUUGACCAAAAUAAAUAAUAACCACUUAUAUUUUUCAAUUCGAAUGGCGGUUCUCAAAAAUAAAAUAACUAAUUAAAUAUGUAAAGAAAAAAUAGAAUUUAAAUAAAAAAUAAAAAAUAAAAUAAAAACGAAGGAAACUGACGCACGGCAGGUCUUAUAUCCAUUAAGUAAAACUUACACUGAUUAAUAUCUAGGAUAUAUAUAGAUAGAUAUAAUCGCAAUUAAAGACUUUGAAGGCUUGAAAUGCUGCCCUAAAUUUCUUGGCCCAUCUGCCUCAUUUGUUUAAAACAUACUCUGUGUUCGUGGUGGAUUUGGAUUCGGUUAGAUUCCUCGGCAGAAUGGGCUCUUUGACGGUUGCAGAUUUUAAGAAGAAAAUCAUGUCUCGUUGUUAUGUAAUAAGUUGAAUGAGCCACCAACCACCUUCGUCGCCAUUUUUUACUGGACCAGGUCAUUCUUUUUUACUCAAGUAGAUUCUCGAAAUUGCACGAUUGUAGGAAGCUUAGCUACCUUGCUACACCAGCUCACCACAGACUUCUUUGAACUUGGUCGAUUGUUUUGAACAAUACAUUAUUCUUGGAAUUCAAACAAAAAUGGUUGGAAUUCAAACUAAACUUCAAUUAAAGUGAUUUUUUAGCUCUUAAUCAUGUUCUGUACGUACUUUAAAUUCAUUGGAUCUAAAAUAUCUAACCAAAUACAAGUUGAUUAAUGGUCCUUUUUCGGAUAGGUAGUUGUUGGUCAUGUCAAUGGUCUAUAUAGUAGUAUAUAUUGGCAUGUUGUGUCACGAAUUAUAUCUCAAGUGAUAACAAAAAAUUAACCCAACUUCUAUAGCUCCAAACUAAAGCUUUCUUCAUGGCUCUUCAAUCCUCCAAAAUUUUGGUUACUACCUCCAAAGUUUUAGAUCAAAAAAUUGUUAGGCGAUCUGCUAAUUACCAUCCUACAAUUUGGAAGACGAUUAUGUUUAGUCGCUCAAGAGUGAUUAUAUGGUAUGCAGAAUGCUAAUUACCGAUGUGUGUGUGUGUAUAUAUAUAUAUAUAUAUAUAUAUAUAUAUAUAUUUGAGCAUGACAGGUAGCUAAUAGAGUUGCUCAUCGUCGAUGUAUAGGGCGAAUCAUAUGGUGAACGAGCAGUGAAACUGUUGGGAGAAGUGAAAAUGAGGCUUGACAAGUGGUGGAUCCUUUGGAGCAACUCUAGCUAGUCGAUGCGGUAAAGAGACUCGGAUUAUCUCAUUACUUUGAGAAUGAAAACAAGAGGAUUUUGGAGUGUGUAACGGCUGAUCAUAACAAUUUAUAUGCUACAUCACUUGAAUUUAGACUCGUAAGGCUGAAUGGGUAUAAAGUAACUUCAGGUAAAGGUCCAAGUAGUCCAAAUAGGCUCCUAUAAUACUUUUUCAAGCUUAUUUGGCUACAAAUUCAAUAGAAAGGAGUGCUUGGAAUGCUUCGAAGAGUGUUCCAACCUAAUCAAGUUUUCAUCUGUGAUUGGACGACUUGCGGAUGAUCUUGGAACAUCAUCGGUAUGAAAUAUACAAGCAUCAUUGCUUGCUGUGAAUUGAAAUAUAUUUAUGUAAUGCUUUACCCUUUGGAUUUUCUUGAUUAGGAUGAGUUGAAAAGAGGCGAUGUUCCUAAAUCAAUCCAAUGUUACGUACACGAACUGGAUGAAGAAGCCCGUCAGCACAUAGGGGCAUCGAUUGAUGCAUGGUGGAAAAGGCUAAACGAAGAGCGAUUUGCUCAUUCUCAUUUUUCUCAGACGUUUAUUCAAAUCGCAUUGAACGUGCCAAGGAUGUUUCAAUGCAUGUACCAGCAUGGUGAUGGCCAUGGGGCUGGAGAUCGUGAGACCGAGGAUCGUGUAUUAGCAUAAAUCGUUUUUCCUAUUCCAUAAGAGUAUUCAGACCAAAAUAAUUGGAGGUGAGGUGAUAUAGCAAUCCUUUUGUAAUAACUUUUUUCAGUUAAAUUUCCAAAUCUUGAGCCUCUAUAAAUAUAAAUUCAAAUAAUUGAUAAGUUUGCUGCUCUUAGCGAGUUUAUAGGUAACAAAAUUUCUCUCUCUAUCCAUCUCAAUUAGCUUUGUAAUAAUUUUGCUACGCUAGUGUCUUAAUUCCUUGAACAUGUGAUUUGGGUUUUUUUAUUAGUUUAUCUUUUCUAGAUCAGAUAUAAACAUGUCCAUGAAUCGGGCUUAAUAUUUGGUCCGCAAGUAAAGUUUUUAUUUAUUUAUGUUAAUUUGGUUUCUAGUCUAAUUAUAUUUUCAGCCAUAAUUUUACAUUAUAUUAAAGAGCAAUAUAUUAAAUUCCCGCAAAUAAAAAUAUUUCUUAGCCAAUUCCUUUAUUAUUAUUUUUAUUAUAUCCCUAAUUAAGUGUAAUAAUUAAAUUUAUCAAAUUACUUAAAAAAUUGUUAGAAUAAAAACAUAUAAUAAUUACCAUACACAUUGCUUCCUACCUUCAAGAAUUUCGUGAUACACAUUGUAAACAAUUUGUUCAACCCAUACUCUUUUCAGUCUUCAAUCAAUUAAUUAGGAUACACACUAGCUACGGAAUUUUUUUCAAUGGACGAAAAUCUUAAACUAACUCUUUUGAUAAAAAAAAUAUAUAUGCGCUUAUUAUUUCGUACAAACACUAUACCAAAAAGAAAAAUGGCUACAGAUUUUGUUUUUUAGCGACAAGAGAAUUUUUAAUUUUAUCUAAUAUAUUUUUUCUUGGAACUGAUUUAAAUGAAUUUAUUUUCAAGGCCGCAUAGACCUAGGCGCACACCUGUCUGAAGAAGAAUUAUAUAUAACUGAUCGGUUGCCAUCCUGAUUUAAUUUAUAAGAAUAGAUUCGGAAGAUACCAUCCGGAUCAAUUUUCAUCAGAUAGAUUGUUUCCUUGGUAUCAUAUUCUCCUAUAAAUAUAUCCUUUAUGUUGACUCCUGCCGAAUUGAGUAAGUACAGACGGCCAUCAUUGUCGAGAUUCAAGCUCACAUUGUCUCCUUUACCAAAUGUAUUAGAUGCCCAAUACGCAGACCAUUCUGUCCAUGUAUAAUUUGCCACCGGGUAUUGUAUAAGGUUCCCAUUGGUCUGCAUAUUAAGACAAAAGAAUCCUUUCGACUGAUCAGUAUCUGAGACGCUAGAGUAUAGCUCUGUCCCAGCUAAGAGCUUUUGUCCUUGAAGAACGGUAGUGGUAGGGUAUUUAAAGCUCUCCCAGAUUUUUUCUUGGUCUGAAUUGUAUAGAACAAAAUUGCCAGAAUCAAGCAUCGAAGCUGUGGCAACUUUUUCGGUAGAAUCAGUAAUGGAUAUAUCUCGUGUUGAUCUCAGAAUGAGCCUUCCAUCAGUUGUAAGAAUAUUUUUAGCGCUGCUUGGAACAGGAGGAUCAUCUCGGCUGGCCGUCCAAACCACAGUCUUCUGUUGAACUCCAGCAAGAAAAAUUCUAACAGCAUACCCCUUAUCUUGCUGAUAAAAUCCAAAGGCAUAUAGGCCAGAAGGGGAUAGCCAUACGGGUUGGCCUGUGGGUGUUAGAGACGAGCCUAGACUUAUAUUGGAAUGCUUUGGUUGAGCUACGGCAGUUGAAAUGAUGGAGGUAGACAGAAGAAAAAGUAAUAAAAUGGCAGCCAUAGCCAAAGAGUAUAGAUUCAAUUCCUUUCUCCGGUUUUAUGAACUUAAGAGUUAUAAAAUUGUUAGAUUUAUGCUUGAAAAGUUUCCGAUCGCCAAGAGAUGGGUCUGAAAUGUCUUCCCAUUAUUUUCCCAUUCAAAACGGUAAGGCCUUAAUAUUAUUGUCUUCGUCAAGAGACUUAUGCAUGCACGAUUUCUCGUCCUCCCGAGCACCAAUUCAAAGUCUGGGGAUAUUUAGCGAAGUUUCUGCAAAGAUUUUUCCAUUGCAACUAUUCAAAGGGUUUUCGUUUAUUACAAUUAACAAGGUGGCCCUAAAACGCGUUUUAAUACAUACAUAGCAAUUCUUCAAGAAUCUUAUUUCAUUUCUCCCUUACCCCUACGACGUUAUCUUAUUCAAAAAAAUUUAAACUUAUGUAUUCGUAAAGUCGAGAUUUUAUAUUCAUAGAGCAAGUCUAAUAAGCAACUCAUGAUAAUUUGAUUUAAGGUAAAUUAUUUAAAAAAAAAAAAACCCUGUGGUCACAGGCCAAAUAAUUUUGAUCCUUGAAAAUAUAAAAAGUGCCACGUUAUUAUACCCUGAGAUUUCUUUCAUUAAUUUCCAAAUCAACACUAUUACAAAAACGUAUAUGACAUUAUCAUUGAUAUAUAUGACAUUGAUGGAGGUAAGUGUAACAAGAAAUUCAAAGAAUAAAGGAUAAUAAAGCAAGUUUAUUAAUAUCAUAUCGUAUAAUAUUUUAAUUUUUUUUUAAAAGUAUAUGUUAAUAUCAAUUGUUUCGAUAUAUUAUUUUAGAUUUUUUCAUUUAAUACAAAUAUAUUUAUAAAUAAACAUUAAUUUGUACAUAAUAAUACUAUUAAUAAUAGGCAAAAUAAAUAUAAAACACUUUAAAAAACUAAAUAAAUAAGUUUAAAAGCACAACAAAAAAUAUCAUUAAUUUAUCAUGAUAUUUUUAAACAUUUAAUCUGAUCAUAUGAUAUUUAUAUAAAUAAUUGUUCAUGUAAAAUUAAGAUAAAAGUAAAGAGAUGAAAAAGAAAUUAAUUUUAACUUUACGAUUCUUAAACUUUAAGGAGAGAGCACAAUUACUUUCUUGAAAAAAAUUAAAAUACUUAUAAUUAUUUGUUUGAAAAAAUAAAGUGUAAAAGAAAACAAGUUAUUGUAAAAAAUAAAGAAAUCCAAAUUUUAAGGGUUCUUUUACUCAUUAAUUUUAUUUUUAUUAUGUUAUAAAAAGUCAAACAACAAAAAAAAUUAAAAAUUAUAAAACAUAUUUUACAUUCAAAUACUAGCUGAAACAAGUUAUUCUAUCAAAGUUCACCCCAAUCAACUGAAACAAACAAAAAUAACCUGUUUAUCCAAUAUAAAUUCGAUAAAAAAACUCUACUCUUAAUUAUAUUGUAUUUUAAUAUAACUGAAGCAUGUUAACCGAGAUGACCAAUACUAAAAUGAAAUUUACAUCAAUGUAACGAAAAAAAAAAAAAAGAAAGGGAAAUUGAUAAAUGAUUUUGACUUUAAAAUAACGAAGAAAAAAAAAAACCUCAAAAGGGGUUAGUGUAACUUUUUUUUUUUAAGCCACGGAGCAUAUUUUAUUAUUUGUCUUUAACCGUACGGUGAAAUUUUACAUCCAAGUUAUAAUUUAAAAAGAAAAACAAAAGAUGUUACAAAUGUCAAGAGAAAAUAAAAUACACUUCUAUUGUUUAAUUAAGGGGUUUCUUUGGAACUCAGGGUUUUGCACGAGGAGUUUUCAUAGUCUUGUCAGUAUGCAGGUGUUCUUAGUUUCAGUAUAUUAGAGUAGUAAUAAGCUAUUUUAAGAACUCCGUGGUUAAGAUCUCAUGAAGUUAUGAUAAUUGCAGACGAGUUAGAAAGCAAAUGGUCAAAGCUAAAGCUAAUUUAAGAAGAAAAAGAGGGCAUUGAAUUUGAGGGGCUAGAAGAGGAAUUGAAUCCAUUGGAGGUCUUUCAGUUAGUGGGGAAGCUACUAACAACAAGAUGUUCAAUAGGGAAACAAUGAUCAAUACAUUCCAGAUGAUAUGAAAGUUGGCCUGAGAGAUGACAAUGAUGGUGUUGGAACCAGACUUAUUCAUCUUUAAGUUUGGGUCAAAGAGUGAUAAGAAGAGAGUCCUCGAAGAGUCGUCAUGGUCGUUUGAAAAGAACCUUUUAGUUUUUAGAAAGUAUAAUGGUGAUCUAAAGCCAACAGAUUGCUCUUUUGAUAGAGCAAAGUUUUGGAUUAUGGUGUAUGUGUUGGCAUUGAAAAUGCUGACCAAAAAUAUGGCAAAAAGGGUAGGAAUGAAAUUGGGAGUAUUGAAAGGUGUGGACCAUUACUGUUUGUUUUCUAUGGGUGGAAUCUUCUUAAGAAUAUGAGUGGAAAUAGAUAUCACAAAGCCUUUGAGAAGGUGUGUUUUUAUUGUAGGGAAGAACAAAGAAGAUGGCUUAUAGAGGCAAUUAAGGUAUGAGCUUCUCCCAAAUUUUUCCUAUGUAUCUAGGAAACUGUGCUAUACUGAAUUGGAUUGUGGAAUGGAAGCAGAGUUAGAAAGAGAAAGAGAGGACAAGCAGUAUGUGUAAUGGAUGCGAGCUUCACCAAUAAAAAGAGGAUGCUUGGCUUAUAUGACCAGAAACCAAUACCCAACACGUAAACAGUACAAUGAAGAGAAAGAAAGGCCUAGCAUGCCCACGAACAAAUAUGGAAGUGGGGAUGUGGGAGGAACAAUUGUCAGCCCCAAAUCUAAAGAUUUAGGAUGUAACAAUGCCGUGUACUCAUGAGACAAGUCCCACGAGCAUGCAAGGUAAUAGAUAUUAUACUAAUCAAACUCCAAAAUAUCAUAUUAAUUUAAAAUCAAACUCCAAAGGGUAUUCAAAAUUUAUAGUUUACAAACCAAAGUCUCUGAAAUUCACGUGUUACAUUUGAUCAAAAAAUACAACAAUAUUUUAAUUUUAUUAUAUCAAGGUACGUAUAUUACAAGCUAUAUGAUGACAAAAGAUAGAUGAAGUCUUGCAACAUAAUAUUUUGUUAAAACUAAGCCUUGAAGAUGCAAAUAUAGAAAUAUGAAAAGUAAAAAAUAAAUUAAAAGAAUGAAUAUGAUGACUCAGCAAGUAACCAACGUCUUUUCAAUUGGAUUAGGCAUGUCACAAAAUAUUUAGGCCAAAAUAUAACUAAAAGAUUAAAAAAUAUUUUGGCUAAUCUUGACUUCGCAAACAUAUUUUCACAAAACAUAUUCUCAAAACCAGAUUCUCAAAUCAUAAAAUAGAAUCAAAUAUCACAAAAUUAUAAAUUUUAUUAGUUUUCUGUAACGUACUAUGACCACACUUAACUCAUGUGAUAUAGGAUAGAAUAAAAAUUUUUCUUCUAGUGCAAUAGGACAAACGUAUGUUAGAAAUAACUAGGUCGUUACACUAACAAUCAUAAUUAACCCAUUAGUACAAUGAGACAGAACAAAAAUCACAAUAACCCUUUUAGUGUAAUGGGACAUAAUUAUGUCACUGAUGGUACGAUGACCAAAAAUCACUAUUUUCAAUAGGUGGCACAGUUUGAAACCAGUAUCAAUAUCACAAAAUACAUGUUGACAUAGCCAACAAUUAAUCCUCAUUGGCAAGCUCAGAACAUAGUCAUAUUAGGAGACAAAAAAUCAAAAUAUAUUUUCAGAUUACCUAACAUACACAAAUUAAAUAUUUAUAAAUUUUCUCAAAACAUAAUCCAUACAAAGUAAAAUCUAUAAUCAUUCCAUAAUGAUUAGUUUGUCCUUAGCUAAAUCCAUGUCUCCUUACUAACUUUCCAAAGCCAUCAAACCAAGCCUUCAAACCAAGCCUUCAAUGAUUGUUUUAAACCAUGAAGAGACUUUUUCAAUUUGCAUACCUUCAUGUCAUUGUUUUCCUUUCAAAAUCAAGAGACAAAUCCAUAUAAACUUCUUCAUCUAGCUCCCCAUUAAGAAAGGCAUUCUUGACAUCCGUUUGGUGUAAUGGCCAAUUAAGAUUAGUAGUUAGUGAAAGUAGUACCCUUGUAGUAUUCAAUUUAGCAAUUGGAGCAAAGGUUUCAGUGUAGUCUACUUUAAAAGUUUGAGUAAAUCCCUUUGCAACUAAGUGGGUCUUGUGUCUAUCUAUUCCACCAUCUGAACUAUACUUAAUAGUAAACAUCCAUUUACAUCCAAUUGGUGUUUUUUCUCUAGGUAACUCCAUAACAUCUCAAGUCUCAUUCCUUUUCAAUACUGUCAUCUCUUUAAGUAUAGUAGCUUACCAUUCUAAGAUUUUUAGAACUUCAUGAAUAUUUUGUAAAAUUUUAGUUACCUUAAUCUUUUUUUAUCAUAGCGUGAAAUGUAGUAGGCAAAUGACUGUAUGAUAAAUAAUUGGACAAAAGGUGUUGAGUGUAGGAUCUUACACCUUUUUUAAGUGCUAUACGUUUAUAUAGACCAUUAGGUGGAGUAUUCACUGGUAAUGGUGUGGUAGGAACAAUCUUUUCUGAUUCAAAAUUUACUUGUGAAUCGGUAUUCAGUGGUGAUAAUGUUAUAGGCUUAGCAUUUUCUAAUUCAGAAUUUACUUAAGGAUCAAAUUCUUGAUAAUAUGGCCAGGACACAAAAAUUUAUACUUCUUGAAGCUAUGGUUUACAUCAUGAAUAAACGCAGAUCUCUGUUGUUUAUUAAGGAUUAACCAUAGAUGAAUCUAUCCCUAUUUCUAACUUAGCAUAUGUUGGUGACACAAUAGGAAUAGUAGAUGUUAUAAGAAUUGGAAUGGAAUAUUCUUAAAGCCUAUCUUCACCUAGUAUCUCCCCAUGAAGAAUUAGUUUUGGGUAAAAGGGUUGAUUUUCAAAGAAUGUGACAUCUAAUGAGACAAAUAUUUGUUUCAUGGAUGAACAAUAGCACUUAUACCUUUUUUUAAUAGAAGAGUACCUAAUAAAAAUAUAUUUUAUAGCUCUAAGUUCUAGUUUUCCACAAGAUGGACUUUUGUUGUUAACAAAAUAUGUGCAACCAAAGACUUUUAGGGAUAAAGAGGUAAAAAUCAUAAUUCACAGAUAUGAUUAAGGUAACAUGUUCAAUGGUGUGUUGAAAUUGGGAACUCUAAUAGAAAGUUUAUUGAUAAAGUUUGAGGCUAUUCAAAUAACAUCUUUCAAAAAACACUUGGGAACUUAUUGGUAAACAUGAUAGAUGAACAACUUUAAUAGAUGACUAUUUUUACGUUUUAUAAUCCCAUUUUGUUGGAAGGUAUUAACGUAAAAACUUGGGUGAAAAUUUUCAUUUUCUUUUAAAUAAUCACCGAGAAUUGAAUUAAAGUAUUGUCUGUGUGAAAAUUUUAGAUUAAGCUUGAAAUUGUGUUUGAAUCAUUUUUUGAAAUUGUUGAAAAAUUGCUUAGCAUCUGACUUAUUUUUUAAUAAGUAAACUCAAUAAGCUCUGUAUGAUCAUCUGUAAAUGUCAUGAAUCACCUAGUUCUAAUUAUGUUAUUUUCCCAUAAAGGUCCCCAAAUAUCAUUAUGAACUAAAGAAAAAUAUUUAGAAAUCUAUACGGAUGACUAGGAUAAGGAACAUGAGUGUGUUUGGCAAGUUGAUAAGUUUCACAACAAAAAGAAUAGACAUCUUUAUUCUUAAAAAAAGAAGGAAAAAGAAAUUUUAGAUAUAGAAAACUAAGAUAUCCUAAUCUAUUAUGCCAUAACAUAAUUUCACUAAAAACAGAAAUAGAUUCACCACUUAGAGCCAAACCUUGUUUAUUCACUUGUUAAGGAUUUUCAAAGUCGUACAAGCCUUCAUGCUCCUUAAUACUAUCAAUUAUCCUCCUUGAAAGUAAAUUCUUAAACUCAUAAUAUAAAAUAUAGAACUUAGCCAUACAAUUCAAGUCAUUUGUCAAUUUACUAAUGGAUACUAAAUUAGGAACAUGCAAAACUGAAAAUAGUGUCAUAUUAAAAACUUUAAUGUUUCUUUCUCCAGUAAUAGAGGAUAGUGAUCUAUUAGCAAUAUGAAUCUUAAGGCUUUUAGAAUAUGGAUUAUAUGUUGAAAACAAUUCAUGGCGUCUAGUUAUAUGCUUAGAUAACCCAAAAUCUAUAAUCCAAGAUGUAGACACCCAAUUGGGUCCGGGCCCAGAUCAAUUGGGCCUGACCCAAAUGGGUAAGGCCCAUUUCAAUCCUGUAUAUUUUUUUUUCUUCUUUUGUAUUUUAUGUAUUUUAUUAUUAUUAUGUAUAUAUUUAUUUAUUUUUUUUAUUAGAUUAGAUUUAUAUGUAUAUAGUUAUAUAUUUAUUAUUAUUAUUAUUAUUUUUUUUUUUUUGUAAUAUAUACUUGGGUUUAUCUUAUUUUAUUAUUAUUAUUAUUAUUAUUAUUAUUUUUAAUUAUCUGUUCUGAUUUUUCCUGAUUAUCAGAUUUUUUUUAUAUCUUUUGAUUUAUCUGAUUAUUAUCUAGUAUUUUUUUUAUUUUUGAUUUUGGAGGGCUAAGAUUGAAGUUGAAGAAUCCUACCGGGAAUGGGAAUUCAAUCAAGAGAGUCCAAUUGGAUUCAAAGACUGAAUUCCCGUCCAAGGAGGAAUUGGGAUUGAUUAGAAACUCCUGAUCAAUCCCUAUAUAAAGCACCUCCUGGAACAGUUCAAGAACACAGAAAAAACAGAAGCAAAAGCUACUGAUUGAGAGAAUAGGGGUGUUUAGAGAGCUAAGGAAAAGUUUAGGAGUGUUCUGGCAGUGAGAAAAAUUUUUUAGAAAAAUUUGGCGAAAAAAUUUUCUGGAAAUUUCUGGGAAAUUUCCAGAUUCCGGCGAAAAUUCCGGCGACUUUUGAAUUUUCCGGCGACAAUUCCGACGAACUUUGAAGUUUCCGGCGACAGACCCAAUUUCCGGCGGAGAAUCCCAGAAACCGGCGACCAUCCGGCCAACUUUCGGCCAAUUUCCGGCGAAAUUCCCAGAUUCCGGCGAAUUUUCCAGAAUCCGGCACCGACGUUCUUCAAAUUCUAGAGAGAAGGCAGAGAAGAAGGGAAGAAGAGAGAGAGAGGGGAGGAACGGUCUGCUGAAAAACGGAGGAAGGUGCCUUUUAUACCCUCCCAAAACGACGUCGUUUUGGCUUUAAGUUAAUAAGAGGAUCCGCGCGUUUUGCCGAACCCGACCCGACCCGAAGCGUAGACCCGCUUUCUGACCCGCGCGUUUCAGCCCCUCCGAGCUGAGCCGAGCCGAGCCGAGCCGCACCAAGUCGAGCCGCGAUCCGAGCCGCUCCAGGUUUUUUUUUUUUUUUUGAAUUUUUUUGAAUUUUUUUUUAUUUGACUUUGAUUUUGAUCUUGAUUUUUUUUUCUUUAUUCUUUAAUUAAUCCGACGACGGAGCCUCUACAAGUAAAAACAGUAGUUUUUCUUACAUACUCCUAAGGUGAGGGAAUUUUCUCAAUUUUCUGCUAAAAGUAUUAGAGUCAAUUGAGAAUAAUUUCCGAUAAUUAAUUACUUGGCUGAUUUUGAUUUUUUUUUCUUUAAUUAAUCCGAUUCGACGGAGCCUCGCAAGUGAAACAGUAGUUUUUUCUUGCAUACUCCUGAGGUGAGGGAAUUUUCUCAAUUUUCUGCUAAAGUAUUAGAGUCAAUUGAGAAAUAAUUUUCGAUAAUUAAUUAAUUGGUUGAUCUUGAUUUUUCUUUAAUUAAUCCGACGACGGAGCCUCUGCAAGUGAAACAGUAGUUUUUCUGCAUACUCUGAGGUGAGGGAAUUUUCUCAAUUUUCUGCUAAAAGUAUUAGAGUCAAUUGAGAAUAAUUUUAGAUAAUUAAUUAAUUGGUUGAUCUUGAUUUUUCUUUAAAUAAUCCGACGACGGAGCCUCUGCAAGUGAAACAGUAGUUUUUCUUGUAUACUCUUGAGGUGAGGGAAUUUUCUCAAUUUUCUGCUAAAAGUAUUAGAGUCAAUUGAGAAUAAUUUUCAACAACUAACUACUUGGUAAAAUUUUAAGGCUUUUGGAUAACACAAAUUCAAGCUGGUACCAUCUUUUGAUGGGCGUUGUGAGGGUGCUAUAACCUUCCUCACACGUAACCGAACUCCCGAACUCUGUUCUGGUUAAGCAGACCCGAACCUAUUCUUUUAGGGACCCUUAAGCUUAGGUGUUCCCUAAAAGGGCAGAUUCCUUAGGUGGCCAAUCACACCUGGAUAAAAAAGAUUGGUGGCGACUCCCUAAAGUCAAUGUCUGACGAUAGAUCCCCGGAUCUAGACGUUAUGACAGCUUGGCGACUCCGCUGGGGACUUGAGAGUCAGGCCAGCAAAUAAUUUGUGUUAUCUAAAAGCCUAAUAAAAUUGAACCAUUUUUGUAUAUAUAUGUUAUUGUUCAUUCAUGUUUAUUUACUUUGUUAAUUAUGUCAUUCAUGUGCAUGUGCAUAACAUGAGCUCUAUACCCGAGCUCCGUCCCUCUAGGAGGGAGUAAAGUACCUAUUGCUUUCGUGAGGUCUAAUGCCUCCGUAGUGGCUAGCGAAAUACUCCCACUCAAAUUGAACCUUUUCCGCUUGUAGCCUGUAAUGGGUGAGGAUUAGGGUGCCUUACUAGUCUGUGAUGGACAAGGAUGUAAGGAACAAUUUGAGGACCUUUAGACUCUGACUUUAAAACUACAUGUAGUGAACCUUAAGAGUGCCUAACCCUAAGAUAGAGCCCUUUCUACCCAAUGAUAGAUAUGCCUUGAAAUUAGGACACAAAAAGGGUGUUUGUCUAAUCAUUUUGAUUGUUUAACUUUGUGUGUUAUUUUUAUUAUAUGUAACAUUAUGCAUCAGCAUCACUUUCGUUUCAUCCACGAAACUAACCAUGUUGUUUGUCUGAUUGUAUGCAUCUGUAUUCUUUUCAUGAUCAUGUUUCAACACAAUCAUUUGCAUUCAUUUCAUACUAGAUUUCAUUUAGAAAAAUGUACAUUUCAUUUGUAUAUCAAAGCAUCAUACAUAAGGCACAGCAUAACAUUUCUAAUCAUAAGUAUGGUACUCAAGGUCCCAGGAUAGCUCCAUCUAGCGAAAACCCUGCUCAUCCAUACAACACAAGGUCCAGAGCAAGGCAAAUGGAGGAAGAAAGUUCUCAUAGAUUUGAAAAGCUAGAAAAAGCUCAGGAGAAGAUUGAAAAUGAACUUAGCAAAAUUUUGGAGGCCCUCAAUAACAUGAAUAAGGGGAAAGGGGUUGAAGGAAAUACAAGCCAACAAGUUCCCCAUUUACAAGAAGUGGCUGACCCUUUGUACCCUCCAGGUUUUGGCCCACCUCAAGCCCAGUCUGCCCAAGAGGUCCCGCCACAACAUUUCGCCUAUCCUGGAAUGCCAUCAGCUUUCAACCCAGGGCAGUAUAACAGCUAUAUAAAUCCUGUCUUCACUGAAAAGGUAGCAGAACCAAUUCCUGAUCUAGAAGAGAAGGAGAAGGAGAAGGAAAAGAUGAGAGUAGAGGCUGAGGAAAGUUCCAAGAUUAGCAUGCUAGAGCAGAGGCUAAGGGCUGUGGAAGGAUUUAGCUGUUAUGGGUCAGUUGAUGCUGCUGGGCUCUGCUUAGUUCCUGAUGUGGUUAUCCCCUAUAAAUUCAAAGUACCAAAAUUUAAAAAAUAUGACGGUACAAAGUGCCCUAAAACCCACAUCACCAUGUAUUGCAGGAAGAUGGCGGCUCAUGCACAUGAUGAAAAACUCUUGAUGCAUGUCUUCCAGGAUAGUCUUACUGGCUCUGCGGCCAGAUGGUAUGUUCAGUUGGAUAGAACCCACAUUCGCUCCUGGAGCGAUAUGGCUCAUGACUUUAUCAGCCAAUAUCGACACAUCAUCGAUUUGGCCCCUGAUCGUUUAUCUUUGCAAAACUUGGAGAAAAAGUCAAAUGAGUCUUUUAAAGAAUACGCCCAGAGAUGGAGGGAUAUAGCUUCACAGGUUACAACCUGCUCUGACAGAAAAAAGAGACCACAGUGCUUGUUAGCACUUUGAAACCUCCUUAUUAUUGAAAAGAUGAUAGGGAUGCAACAAAAAUUUUGCUGACAUGGUGAUCUCUGGAGAAAUUAUUGAAAGUGCCAUUAAAAAAUGGCAAGUUGAGAGGAGGAAAGAAACCAAGAAGGCAUCAGAAAAGAAAGAAACUGAAGCUCAAGCUGUGAGCUUUGAUAGACAACAAUUCAGGGGUUAUCAAACCCUAUCCAUCUCAAGGUUACUCUCCAUACUAUCCCGCUGUGAAUAAUGCCUCAUUCCCACCCAUACCAGCUAGCUCCCCAACCAUCUUAUUCAUCCACUUAUCGCCUAACAUUCAAGCUCCUGUAAGAACCCAAAUCCGCCACUAACCCAGCCAGUGGCUCGCGAGAACAACGGACUACUCGAGAAAAACCUGUAUUUGAUCCAAUCCCUAUGACUUAUACAGAGUUAUAUCGAGAGCUUUAUAAUAGCCAUUUGAUUGCCCCCAGCCAUGUGGAACCACUUAAACCACCCUAUCCAAAGUGGUAUGAUCCUACAGCCCGUUGUGACUAUCAUUAUGGAAUUACUGGCCAUUCUACUGAAAAUUGCACUGCUUUAAAGUAUAAGGUGCAACGGUUGAUCAAUGAUGGAAUGGUAAGUUUUGAUCAAGGAAAAGCAACAGCACCUAAUGUUAGUGUACUGAGCGAAAGUCAAGAACAGAAAGGAUCCGGAGAUUCACAAUGAAUUGAGGGGCAAGAUGUCAAUGGAGAUAAGGCUGAUUGAAGGUUUCUUCUGUCAUUUUGGGAUUUCUUUUCAAAAAUGUUAGAUUUUUUUUUUUUGCAAUAUGACUUCACUUGUUAUCAUUUUAAUAAAGGCAAGUCAAUGCAUUUCAUUACAUUUUUCUCUUUCACUUUACCAUUAUUCCAUGCCUUGUUACCUUCCAUAACUUCACACUCCCAUUCUUAAAUUUCAGAUGAUGAAUAUUUAGACAAUGAUAACAAUAAUUCUGGAAUUUAAUUUUGAGAACUCAUUCACAGAGGAGAUGAUUUGAACGAAAAUAAAGAGGGUAAGCCAUCACCAGAGAUGAAAGAGAUAUAUCUUGAAGGUGUGCAAUAUUUUAUACAAGUUCAUGAGCUCUGUUCAAUAGAUGAUGUUCAAGAAAGGUAUUCACAAUUGAGAUGAAAAAUGGCCAUCUUUCUUUUACCAUUUGAAAAACCAUUUAUUGUUACCCCCUUGAGCUUAUCAUUUUUUUUUAGAACCCCAACCAAGGAUCACCCUCUACACUGGAGGGUAAUUUUUGAAAAAAAAAAAAAAAAAACCACAAAAGGUCUCAAAGAUGAAAAGAAAAAGAAAAGCAAAAGAAAAAAUAAAUGCCACACAUGACUUGGGGCAAAGUAAUGAGAAUCCUUUGUGUGAGGAAAGAAAAAAUAGUGAAACGAUGUGGGGCAAAAUGCCAAGCUGCAUCAAAUGAUCCUUCGGUCUUGAACCUUUUUAAUACAUGUUUUGAGCCUAUUAUAUCCAUUUUUUUUAUGACCCUUCACCUUAGCCUACAUUACAACCUUGGAAAGUCCAUUUGGAUCAAGUGUGAAUACCCAACUUGAAUGAUCAUAUGUUGAGCGAAGGCAUGCUCAUGAUGAAGCAAUGGAAUCAUGCUACAUUACCUUAAAAGUUUGAUGUAUGAAGGAUGUCAAUAAUAGGUGAAGAAUGAAAAAAAAGAUGAUGAAAAAAAAAAAAAAAAGAAAGAAAGAAGAAAAAAUGAGAAAAUGAAAAAAUGAAAAAAGAGAUCCGAAUUGAAAACCUGAAAGGGUGAUUUUGGUACCCAAAAAAAAAAAAAAAAAAAAAAAGAUUCAGGUCAAAUGGCUCACAUGAAUGAAAGAUCAAAGACAUCUGAAGAUCCCUUAAAGACUGGGGCAGAGUUCGCCAAGCCCAAGAUGACUUCAACAGUAAAUGAAUGAGCUUUUGAAAAAGAAUCCUAGAUUAAUGUUGAAAAUUGUCUAAAUAUUCAUCAUUUGGACAUACCAUUUACCUCAAUGACAUCCAAUUUAUUUCCUUUCCCAUUUAUUUUCUACCAAAAUAAAUCUCCAUUGAUUAUCUUUACCAUAAUUCACUUUCUGUCCUCUUAUUGUUACACCCUUAGAAUGAAUUGAGAAAAUGCUUGAUUGCAUUGUAUUUGUCAAAAUUUGAAAUGAUAAUGAAUGAAUGAACAUGUACUUAAAAGAAUCUUACAUUCAUUUGAAAAGAAAUCUAAGAUGAUGAAAAAAUGGUAGAAACCUAAAAGAGAUGAUGGGGCAAAUCUGGAAAAGUGAUGAAUUGAUCGAUAUGACUUGCAAGUUAUGAUUGAAUGAUGAAGACAAUCAGUAGACAAAGUCUGUUUUGGAAUUGUUGAUGCUCAGACAAGGACCCAGCGAUGGUGGAUGAAAUUUGUUUUAAAAUUUGCUAGUGCUGAGAAAUUCAUUGAAUGAUGGUCAAGGGAUGAUCGAUUGAUGAAGCUUAUUCCAGAGUAUUGAAAAACAGAACAAGGAAAGAAUGUGAACGGAAAGGACAAUUGAGAGCUACACUGGUUCGAUCUUAGAAGAGCAGUGCAAUUGGAUCCUUGAGGAAUUAAAGGGCUUGACACCCAAGAAAAAAAAAGAGCUUGAGAAACUUGAGUACCAUACAUUGAACAGGAAUUAAUUGGCCAACAUUUGCAUAGCAUGCAUUGAAAUUCAUAUGCAUUUGCAUAGCAUACACUACUUUCAGGAAAGUAUAGUGUACAAAUUCAAGAAGCAGGGGUGUUCCAACAUCCCACAUGGAAAAGACAGAUAUGAAAAGACUUUGCAAGUUUGAGAAGAAACUUGUCAGGUAAGUUCCUAAUCCUUGAAAUAGGAUGUCUCUUGGUAUCAGGGUUGAUUUAUAAGACCUUUGGGCAUGAUCUCCUGAAAUUCUCUUCAAACACAACUUUCAACUCCUUCGGACAUGAUUGUCUAGGAGUAUUUACUUUUCAAAGUUCGUUACCUCUGUUUAGAGGAGCAAUUUACUUUUUCAAAGUCGUGGUGCCUCUGUUUAGAGGAGCAAUUUACUUUUCAAAGUUCGUUGCCUCUGUUUAGAGGAGUAAUUUACUUUUCAAAGUUCGUUGCCUCUGUUUAGAGGAGCAAUUUACUUUUCCAAAGUCGUGGUACCUCUGUUGAGAGGAGCAAUUUACUUUUUCAAAGUCGCGUUGCCUCUGUUUAGAGGAGCAAUUUACUUUUCCAAAGUCGUGGUACCUCUGUUGAGAGGAGCAAUUUAUUUUUCAAAGUUUCGUUGCCUCUGUUUAGAGGAGCAAUUUAUUUUUCCAAAGUCGUGGUACCUCUGUUGAAAGGAGCAAUUUACUUUUUCAAAGUCGUGGUACCUCUGUUGAGAGGAGCAAUUUAUUUUUCCAAAGUCGUGGUACCUCUGUUGAGAGGAGCAAUUUACUUUUUCAAAGUCGUGGUACCUCUGUUGAGAGGAGCAAUUUACUUUCCAAAGUCGUGGUGCCUCUGUUUAGAGGAGCAAUUUAUUUUUUCAAAGUCGUGGUACCUCUGUUGAGAGGAGCAAUUUACUUUUUCAAAGUCGCGUUGCCUCUGUUUAGAGGAGCAAUUUACUUUUCCAAAGUCGUGGUACCCUCUGUUGAGAGGAGCAAUUUAUUUUCAAAGUUCGUUGCCUCUGUUUAGAGGAGCCAAUUUAUUUUUUCAAAGUCGUGUACCUCUGUUGAGAGGAGCAAUUUACUUUUCCAAAGUCGUGGUACCUCUGUUGAGAGGAGCAAUUUACUUUCCAAAGUCGUGGUGCCUCUGUUUAGAGGAGCAAUUUAUUUUUUCCAAAGUCGUGGUACCUCUGUUGAGAGGAGCAAUUUAUUUUUCAAAGUUCCGUUGCCUCUGUUUAGAGGAGCAAUUUAUUUUUUUAAAGUCGUGGUGCCUCUGUUUAGAGGAGCAAUUUACUUUUCAAAGUUCGUUGCCUCUGUUUACAGGAGCAAUUUACUUUUCAAAGUCGUGGUGCCUCUGUUGAGAGGAGCAAUUUAUUUUUCCAAAGUCCUGGUGCCUCUGUUGAGAGGAGCAAUUUAUUUUUCCAAAGUCGUGGUGCCUCUGUUGAGAGGAGCAAUUUACUUUCCAAAGUCCGUUGCCUCUGUUUAGAGGAGCAUUUACUUUCAAAAGUCGUUGAGUCUCUGUUUUAGAGGAGCUUCGGCCAAAAAAAAAAACAAAAAAAAAAAACAAAAACAAAAAAACAAAAAAAUCAAAAAAUCAAAAAAAUAAAACAAAAAUAAAAAAAAAUCAAAAAUAAAAAUGUUGAGUUGAGUCUUGAUUGGGUGUCUACGUCUUUGCGCAAUUUCUGUUUCACAGAAAAUGUGCAAAGAGGGGCAGCUGUAGACACCCAAUUGGGUCCGGGCCCAGAUCAAUUGGGCCUGACCCAAAUGGGUAAGGCCCAUUUCAAUCCUGUAUAUUUUUUUUUUCUUCUUUUGUAUUUUAUGUAUUUUAUUAUUAUUAUGUAUAUAUUUAUUUAUUUUUUUUAUUAGAUUAGAUUUAUAUGUAUAUAGUUAUAUAUUUAUUAUUAUUAUUAUUAUUUUUUUUUUUUUUUGUAAUAUAUACUUGGGUUUAUCUUAUUUUAUUAUUAUUAUUAUUAUUAUUAUUUUUAAUUAUCUGUUCUGAUUUUUCCUGAUUAUCAGAUUUUUUUUAUAUAUUUUGAUUUAUCUGAUUAUUAUCUAGUAUUUUUUUUAUUUUUGAUUUUGGAGGGCUAAGAUUGAAGUUGAAGAAUCCUACCGGGAAUGGGAAUUCAAUCAAGAGAGUCCAAUUGGAUUCAAAGACUGAAUUCCCGUCCAAGGAGGAAUUGGGAUUGAUCAGAAACUCCUGAUCAAUCCCUAUAUAAAGCACCUCCUGGAACAGUUCAAGAACACAGAAAAAACAGAAGCAAAAGCUACUGAUUGAGAGAAUAGGGGUGUUUAGAGAGCUAAGGAAAAGUUUAGGAGUGUUCUGGCAGUGAGAAAAAUUUUUUAGAAAAAUUUGGCGAAAAAAUUUUCUGGAAAUUUCUGGGAAAUUUCCCAGAUUCCGGCGAAAAUUCCGGCGACUUUUGAAUUUUCCCGGCGACAAUUCCGACGAACUUUGAAGUUUCCGACGACAGACCCAAUUUCCGGCGGAGAAUCCCAGAAACCGGCGACCAUCCGGCCAACUUUCGGCCAAUUUCCGGCGAAAUUCCCAGAUUCCGGCGAAUUUUCCAGAAUCCGGCACCGACGUUCUUCAAAUUCUAGAGAGAAGGCAGAGAAGAAGGAAGAAGAGAGAGAGAGGGGAGGAACGGUCUGCUGAAAAACGGAGGAAGGUGCCUUUUAUACCCUCCCAAAACGACGUCGUUUUGGCUUUAAGUUAAUAAGAGGAUCCGCGCGUUUUGCCGAACCCGACCCGACCCGAAGCGUAGACCCGCUUUCUGACCCGCGCGUUUCAGCCCCUCCGAGCUGAGCCGAGCCGAGCCGAGCCGCACCAAGCCGAGCCGCGAUCCGAGCCGCUCCAGGUUUUUUUUUUUUUUGAAUUUUUUUUUUAUUUUUUAUUUGACUUUGAUUUUGAUCUUGAUUUUUUUUCUUUAUUCUUUAAUUAAUCCGACGACGGAGCCUCUACAAGUAAAAACAGUAGUUUUUCUUACAUACUCCUAAGGUGAGGGAAUUUUCCUCAUUUUCUGCUAAAAGUAUUAGAGUCAAUUGAGAAUAAUUUCUGAUAAUUAAUUACUUGGCUGAUUUUGAUUUUUUUUUCUUUAAUUAAUCCGACGACGGAGCCUCUGCAAGUGAAACAGUAGUUUUCUUGCAUACUCCUGAGGUGAGGGAAUUUUCUCAAUUUUCUGCUAAAAGUAUUAGAGUCAAUUGAGAAUAAUUUUCGAUAAUUAAUUAAUUGGUUGAUCUUGAUUUUUCUUUAAUUAAUCCGACGACGGAGCCUCUGCAAGUGAAACAGUAGUUUUUCUUGCAUACUCCUGAGGUGAGGGAAUUUUCUCAAUUUUCUGCUAAAAGUAUUAGAGUCAAUUGAGAAUAAUUUUAGAUAAUUAAUUAAUUGGUUGAUCUUGAUUUUUCUUUAAAUAAUCCGACGACGGAGCCUCUGCAAGUGAAACAGUAGUUUUUCUUGUAUACUCUUGAGGUGAGGGAAUUUUCUCAAUUUUCUGCUAAAAGUAUUAGAGUCAAUUGAGAAUAAUUUUCAACAACUAACUACUUGGUAAAAUUUUAAGGCUUUUGGAUAACACAAAUUCAAGCUGGUACCAUCUUUUGAUGGGCGUUGUGAGGGUGCUAUAACCUUCCUCACACGUAACCGAACUCCCGAACUCUGUUCUGGUUAAGCAGACCCGAACCUAUUCUUUUAGGGACCCUUAAGCUUAGGUGUUCCCUAAAAGGGCAGAUUCCUUAGGUGGCCAAUCACACCUGGAUAAAAAAGAUUGGUGGCGACUCCCUAAAGUCAAUGUCUGACGAUAGAUCCCCGGAUCUAGACGUUAUGACACAAGAUUUUUAGAAUAUGAUUUUGGACUCAAAGCAGAGAGAUAAUUAUCUUUUUGUGUAAUUGUGCAUUUUGGAGUGAAUGCAAUAAUUGGUUCAGAAGUCACUUUUGAUCUACUAUUUUGAGGGGUAUCAGUUAUGGUUGUUUUGGCCAUUAGAAAAGAAUAAAUAAAAGUAAACCCAUGAAAACAAAGAAAAAAAUAAUGUUCUCUGAGUGUUAUUUUAUUAAAAGGAAUAUGAAAAUAUAUAAAAGAAUUGAUAUGUAUAAAGAAACCCAUAGAAUCAGGGCACAAUCAUCAAUACAUAAAAACAAAUAAAAGACAAGAAAUAUAAAUCCUAACAAAUCAGGAAAUUAAUCUUGAUUUAAUACAUAAUCUAUCAACAAAAAUUUUAUUAAAAGUAAUUCAUUUAAGAUCACUUGAUAAAAUAAACACAAUUCCUUUACUAUUUAAGUUUAAAAUUAUAACUAGAAUCUAAACACUAUUAAUUAAGUCCUUAAAUAUAUAAAAAAAUUUUAUAUUUUUUUUAGAAAAUAAAUGUCAAAGCACUCAAGAUUCCAAACUAUUUGGGUAUGUUUCAUUCCUCUCUUUUUUAUUAAAAAUAAUUUCUAACUUUAUUUUUAAUAGGAUUUAAAGUUUUAUUUUUUUUAUCAAAAUUUGUAAAUAUUAGGGAAAUAAAAUUUAAUAAAAUAAAAUAAAAAAGAAUUAGAAUUAGAAUUACGUAUCUAGAAUUAUUAUUCCUUGCUAUCAUAACAAAAUAUAUUUAUUAAAAGAAACAAAAUUUUAUAUUUAUUACAAAAGAAAAUAAUGUAUCAUUUUUGUCUCUUUUCCAAGUUUAAUUUUUAAAAUCAAAGAAAAUGAUACUUUAUUUCUUUCUAAUAACUUUUAUAAAUUUAUUUUUUAACGCAAUUAAUAUAUUUAAAUUAUUCUAAUGUUUUGUUUCUUUCUUUUUUGUUAAAAAUAAUUUUUAGAUUUAUUUUUAAUUGGAUUUAAUUUUAUAUACUAAAAUUUAUAAAUAUUGGAAAAAUAAAUUUUAAUAAACUAAAAAAAUAAAUUAAAAUAUGAUAAUUGACUCAAAAUUAUUCUUUUUAUUACAUACUAAAAUGUAUUUACUAAGAAAAUAAAAAUUUUAUAAUCAUUAUGAAAGAAACUAAAGUAUCAUUCUACCUUUAAUUUUAAGUUGAAUUUUUAAAAUUAAGGAAACCAUUGUGUUCUCAUUUCCUUUUUAAAAAAUUUAUAAAUUUUAUUUCCUUUUAAAUAAAUAGAUUUUGGUAAGAUUAUAAAGAGUAAGAAUUCUGAAUUCAUUAUCUUAAUUUUUAAUUUCCUCUUAUUUUUAUGCAAAGGGACCAUUUCGACAUCUUUUUAAAAAGAUUUAGGACUAUCAUGAAGUAAUUUGAAAAUUAAAAAUCAAAAUGAAACCCAAAUGAAAAGUUUGAGGCUACAAAUGUGCUUUAUCCUUAGUUUGAGUGUGGGACAUUUUCUCUUCUGAAUGUUCUCUAAGAAAAUCCUUUAAAUCAUUUAACUGAAGUAAGGUCCUUAAUCGAAAAUGAGCCAUGAAUUUCAUCUCCAGAGGCACUAUUGGUCAUUUUAAUAUUAUCUGAAAUUGAAGAGAACACCAUAUAUCCUGUAUCAUGGUCAUUUUUCAAAAGGUUAUCUUAAUUGUCACGGAUGGAUUUUGCUGCAAUGGUUAGAUCUUCUUGUUUUACCCCUGGAAUUUGCUGCUUAAAAUUUUCUGAAUUAUUUGGAUAAACUGAAUUGGCCUGUUUUGCAUGCUAUGUAGACACGGGUCUUAUGAUAGUAGAGGACAUCUGUCUGAUCCAAAUGAGGCAGGAUUGUUUAUGAAUCGAAAAUCCCAAGAUGCUG